UUUUUUUUUUUUGUCAUUUCGUGCCCAUGACUAGGCCUAUAAUCGUUAAAUGCCUUAUAUUCCGCUUCUUCGUUCAUGUUUAUAUCAUUUGACAUUGGUCUGAAAUUCUUCUAUCUUUACAUCUUAGUCAUAUAGAUGUAUUGUAAAUGAAUACUCUUGUUUUGCACUUGAAAUUUGGUGAUUGAUUGAAUGACGUUUGGAUACUUUUUGUUUGCUAAUGGUCACUCCAUGGAUAUUGGCGUUUUUUAAAACUUUUUUGGACACUGCUAUGUGACAAAUGUUUCUCAAUUUUCUUUCUUCUUGAAACAAAAAGAAAAAAAUUUGAGGAAGAGAGGUUGAAUAAUGAUGUUGGUGUCUUAACAAGUUUGGUAAUUGUUGAUUUUCAUGGAAAUUAAUUAAAGAUUGGAUGAAACGAUUGUGUGUACUUAAUUGGAAAAUAUUCACAUCUAUUGCUUGGAUUGGAAGUCUUAAGGGCUAUAAUUUUAUAUACAUUCCUUUUCUGGCUUUUGACUGGCAAUAGCAGGGGUUAAGCGUUCGGAUACCUUUAAAGCAUGAUGGUGAAAGUGUUGAAGAGAACGGGAGUAUUGGCCUUCAUUUGAUUAGUUGUUUUAUUUCUGCUGCUAUGUAUUCAGUUAAAGGGAUUUUGCAGAGUUAAUUUUAUUGGCUUUGGUAGAGUUCAUUGUAUGCUGCAAGUUUUUGAGACUAGAAUGACUUGGAUUCUCCAUGGCCUUUUUCUGUAUUUGUUAAUGGUUGAGAAAAAAAAACAAUACCAAGUGUUAAUUUCAUUUUAAAAAGGUCGAAAACGUGGAUCAUAGACGGCUUUAAUUUCAAUUUCAGAAUAGACCCUUUGGUUUUCUUCUUCAUCUUGCGCCAUUGACCUUGCUACCAUUCUGCCAAGUUUCUUUCUUUUUAUUAAAUCCUAUUUAUUUUUAUUUCCUUUAUUUAUUUAAGGUUGAUCAAUUUCGGUGUUUGAGUUGUGAGACACGAAUCUAUAUUUAAUCCUUUUUACUUUAUCAUUCGAUUUUUUUUCUGCAUCAAAGAUAGAUAGGAUCAUCUCACAAUAUUCUUUUCGGCAUUAUUUCGAGAAAGGCCCUUGUACGGUGUUGAAAAUAAUUCAUAGUUGGUAAAAAUUAGUUUGAUUCGUAAUUGUCAAAAAAACAAGUUGACGUGAUUCAAUUAAGAGUGCAGUUUGGUGACACCACGGGAAUUAGUAAUCUUAUUAAUUUAAAUGAUCCAUACAAUUUAGAUAAUUAAUUAUAGUUGGGUUGUUUUAAUUUGCAAGGCUAUCAAGGAAUAAAUCCUAAAAGAUACUUUCUGGGUUAUUUGCUCAAUAAAAGUUAAUUGUAGGGUUGUUCUCACCAUUAAUUUACUGUUAAAACUAAAUUGAUGAUCUAAUCAACAUGUGAGAAGACAUUGGUAGUAUGUGAAUCCAUUUUUAAACCCAAGUUUAUUUUAUUUAAUUUCAUGUCCACACUUUAUUUACUAUUUUAUUUCUCGAGAUAUUAAUUAUAUCAAACAAACAUUUGUUUGCAGAAGAUAAAAUAAUUUAUAAAAUCAGCACAUCAAUCACAUGUAAUAUAUAAUAUCAAAUAAAUUAAAAGUCAAUGGUCAAUAUUCAGACGAAAACAGAAACACUGGGGGGAGGAAACUUCCAAUCUAAAAUAAUUAGACCAAGAUUCUGUUGCGUGAUCAAGAUUUGUGUUCUUUUUAAUAUUACCACGGACAAAUCAAUCAUGUAUUAUAUAAAAUGUUUGGGACAAUAAAUUAUUUUCAUGUCUGCGGGUUUUCUCACUAUAAACCUUUCUGUUUUCUUAAUAAAAUUGAGGUAACAAUUCUAUAGUUUCAUCUACAUUUCGCCCCAGAAAUUAUAGUAAAACAGAGACAAUGAAAGGAACAUUGAUGAUGAGUUGGAUUCUGAUCAUCUGCCUCUCCCAAGUAGCAGUGCGGAGCCAAUACUACUCAGAUACCCUACCAUAUCAUCCCAGGCCACCUAAGGUCACCAAUCUUCACUUCUUUAUGCACGAACUUACGGGUGUUACAGCAGUCGUGCUAACCCAAGCUAACAUCACAAGCAAUAAUUCAUCAGUGCCAUUUGCUACCCUAGUUGCUGUUAAUGAUCCCCUCAGGACUGGCCCUGAGCCUGACUCAGAGGUGAUUGGAAAUGUUCAGGGUAUUUCCCUUUUAGCCGGAUCAAAUGCAUCGAGCACGCAGUACAUAGAAUUUGGAUUUAAUACCGGUAAGUUUAACGGCAGCUCUCUAAGCGUAUUUUCAAGGGGAGAACCAGGGCUUGCGGUGGUCGGAGGAAGAGGGCGGUUCAUGAUGGCAACAGGGACUGCACUAUUUAACCCUAUCCUUAUAAAUGCCACCAAUGUCAUUAUGGAAUUUAACGUUACUGUAGUUCAUUACUAAGAUGUUAUUUACAGACUCAAUUCUCUUGGAUUGUGAAAAAGUCAUAUGAUUCCACUCCACUUGGAUAGAAUAAAUGUAUGAGAUUAACAUUCUCAUACGUCAUCAUUGUACUUUAUUAUUUUAUUACAAAUAUAUUUAUUCAGUAUUUAUCUUCAUCUCUGCUAGAGGUUGGUUUACGCAAAAGCUGAGAAAAGUUUACUUUGCUCAAUAUAUCAUAACAGAUAUAUUGUUGUGUUGAGAUGAAUAAAUCUUGAGACGUUGGAAUGACUUCAAUUCCAAGGAAAUGAUUCAAAUCACCAACACCUUUACUCGAAAAUCUCUCCACCGAAGUUUGAGCAAAGUAAAAAAGAAAACUUUUAUUACUUAAUUUUAUUGAUACAAAAACUUGUUUGAAUCAAUAAAUUUGGAUUUAACUAUACUUAAAGCCUCUAAUUAUCAAUAAAUCCAAACAUAAUGUCAAAUUUAACUCUUAAUGUUUAUAUUUUUUACUCAUUUUGAUUUUUAUUCUUUUUUUUUUUAAAUUAAAUUUUAGCUUCAACCUUUUUAAAGGGGUCAAAUUUGACCACCAACAUCUAAAAAAGAGUCAAAUCGAAUUGUCAUAUUUGUAUAAAGUAUAUGUAAGUUUUCACUUCAACAUCAUUAAAAAAUUAAUGACCUUACCUGCACCAGUAUAUGGGACACUAUUUGUCACACUGAAACCAUCUCGAGUGAGAUGAGAAGUGCCCCUUGAAUCAGGAAACCUGACAUGCUCUCCAACAAUAGAGCAUUCACAGAAGCAGAAGAACCAUUUGUAGAAACAAAAGCACCUGCUACAUUCUAUUUGUUGUCAUUAUCAACAUCACCCAUUGAGCAAAGAUUAGCACUUGUACCUCUCUAUGACCUACAUUAGGCUUAAGAAAACCGAUAAAAGAAGUAUCAAAACGAUAAUAGCACUUUUGUACACUGUGCCCAAUUUUCCACACAAAUGGCACUGACAUCAGUUUGAAAAAUGGCCUCUGCCUUGACCUCGAUGAAAUGAACCUCCUCUGCCUCAAUAUCCAACUGAAGCAGACACACCUUCUGUGGGCCACUGAUAACCCUGUGCUCCAUGAGAAGUAGACUGACUUGUGAUUAACAUGAAGAGUCUAGCCAUAGCACCUAACUCUGCCUAGCUUCAAGGUCAAUCAGGAUCGAAGACAAAGCAGGUACAUCAUAGGCUUGUUUGCUACUGAUGAUUAAGGUGACCACCGAAUCAAAUUCACUAGGUAAACCAUUAAGAAUAGCUGCAAUAUGCUUUGCAUCAGAUAUCUUUUCUCCACAUAUACAAAGAUUAUCCUUAAUCAAUUUAAGUUGUCUCAAAUAAUCACGCAUGUUUUGAUCCCCCUUCUUUUGAAGGUACAAAGAAUACUGAAGAUUCAUAAUCUUGGUAAUUGUUUUAGCAGAAUACAACCGACCAAUGACUUCCCAAAUUUCAACAACCGAUUAACGCAUAACCAAAUCUAGUAAAAUCUCAGGACUGACUACAGAAAGUAACCAAGAUGCUAUGGCUUUAUCUUGUUUAUUAAAUGAAACUCUUUCAGGAUUUUUAACUAGAUGGCCAGACUCAUCAAAAACAAACUCAAGAGGUAUAGCCUGAGUACCAUCAAUGUAAGACUUCAAACCAUAACUCUCCAAAGCAAAAGAAACUUACUGUUUCCACAGUGUUAAGAGUAUAGAUAAGAACUGUGCUAACUAAAUCUGUUAUUGAGCUAGCCUAUUAGUUGUUAGUUUGUUAGUCAAACAGUUAAGUUGUUAGCAAUAGCAGUUACUCAUAUAUUCUAUAUAUACCAUUGCUAUAAUGUACAAACUCAAUAUACAAGAAUAAAUACAAAUAAUUUUCUUAUUACUCAAUUCAUUCUAUUCUUUCAAUACAUAGUAUAGUUUCACUCAUUCAAUACACAAUACAUUUACAACUCACCAUAAGUGUUAACAAAGGGUGUCUUCAUCUUUGUCAGGGAAAGUACAUUCGCGAUCUACUUGACAGGAGCUCUAUGUUACAUGCAAAGAGCGUCCAUACUCCAAUGGUUAGCUCAUCUACUCUAUCCAAGGAUGGCGGGGAUCAUCUUUGUGAUCCUACUGAAUACAGAAGCAUUGCAGGUGCUUUACAGUAUGUGGUCCUGACUCGUCCUGAUAUUGCUUAUGCCGUAAAUAGUAUCUGCAGUUCAUGCAUGCACCUACUACUGUCCAUCUGGUUGCCUUAAAACGAAUCAUGCGAUAUUUAUGUGGUACACUUGGUUAUGGGAUUAUUUUUUGUCCAUCUGACUGGCUUUCUUUAGUUGGUUUUGCGGAUUCUAACUGGGGGCUAGAUUUUGAUGAUCGACACUCUACGAUGAGCUACUGUGUGUACUUUGGUCACACACUUGUCUCCUAGUGUUCCAAGAAACAGCAUGUAGUUUCACGGUCUACGGCUGAGGCUGAAUAUCAGAGUCUUGCUACAACUACUAGUGAUAUUGCUUGGUUAGUCUCGUUACUAAGGGAGUUACAUCUUAAGAGUAUUGAUCUACCGACCAUUUGGUGUGACAACUCUAGUGCAGUUGGCGUAGCUAGUAAUCCUUUCUUACAUUCCAAAUUCAAACAUGUCAAGCUUGAUUUAUUUUUUGUUCACGAAAAGGUAGCAGGUGGCUCUGUUAUUGUUGGUGAGGUCCCUGCCUAUGAGCAAGUUGUUGACAUUCUUACCAAGCCACUCUCUGUAUCGUACUUUGUUUAAUUUCGGAAUCUUUUUCAGGUUUUACCUACCGGAAAAAUGGGUGAACGUUAAGAGUAUAGAUAAGAACUGUGCUAGCAAACUCUGUUAUUGAGCUAUUCUAUUAGCUAUUAGUUUGUUAUUCAAGCAGUUAAGUUGUUAGCAAUGGCAGUUACUCAUAUAUUCUAUAAACAGCAUUGCUAUAAUGUACAAACUCAAUAUACAAGACUAAAUACAAAUAAUUCUCUUAUUACUCAAUACAUUCUAUUCUUUCAAUACUUAUUAUAGUUUCAUUCAUUCAAUACACAAUACAUUUACAACUCACCGUAGGUGUUAACACACAGGAUAAUUGAUUUCAUCAAGCUGAAUAUUGAUCGUCUUGUUAGUGAAGUUCUUGGAAACAUUGGUGGAACUGCUACCAGCAACUUCUCGAUCUUCUGCCAUUACAAAUUUCAGGGAAAAAAACUUUCAAAAAACCAGCUCAGGUACCGUAUUAGAAGACUAGAAAAGAGAUGAAUAGAGAAAGCAAUAUUGUAUUACAUAUUACAAACUUACACAGAGAUAAGCAACCAUAUAUAUACAGGAAGAGAAUCAAGAAAGUAUAACAAAGAUGAAUAAUUGUAGCUAACUAACAUUACCUAACUAACUAAUAGUCUAACAGACUGAGCCAACUAUAUAUUUACUGCUAACACGUAGAGACAUUUAUUGUUUUCUUUUCUCUAUUUCCUUUUUCUUUUGUUUAAGAUGUUGUUAAAUCUUCUAACGCAAAAUGAGAUGACAACUCAAGCACCCCACCACGGUUACACGAUUCGAUACAUCUCUAAACAACCAUUUUUCUCUACUUAUGACACCGUGAUUAGAGUAAUUUAUUGACUUGAAAUAUCACUCGGACCUUUUGAAGCGAAGUGAAAUGACAAUCAAAGCACCCCAUCCUAGUUACUCUAUCUGUCACAAUUCACAAGUUCUUACUCAUAAUUUAAGCUGUCAGUGAAGUAUCCUUUUUUCCUUCUGUUUUCUCUUCUGUUUUGUUUUUCUUUGUCGUUUUUCCAAAUGAGCAAUUUGUCUAAGCGAGUAUAGAAAAUGUCAAAUUCCAUGAGACAUGUAUUAGCACACAAUUCAGUUCCAAAUUUAACAAAUUCCAAUAGAGUAUUGCAAGAGUGUGGAAGAUUUAGGCAAGAUUGCAAGCCUCACAGUUCUCUCUUGGGUUGAUUAGUGUCCCUGUUGAAGUUGGUCAGCAUGAAGCCAACACUCGAUUCCAUACAGGCCAUGAAGACCAAGCAAAGCUGGAACAGAUGCAAGAGCUGCUGAUGCAAGCUCAUUUUGUUCAUUUUGUUAUAUUUAGUUGAUGAAAUGAGUGUUAGUUCAUUUCUAACUAAGUUAGCUUUCUGAUUGAUGUAAUUAGCUUAUGUAUGAGCUGUAAACACAGUUUUGUACAAGUUUACAAGCUAAGAUUUCAAGUUUCUAUGUAAUUAGUGGAGGUAGGUAAUUACUUGUUGAUUUUGACAAGCCUUAUGCUUGAGUUAUGUACUGGCUUCAAGCCAUUGUUUUAUGUAUGAAUCAAAUCAGUUUUGUUCAUCAAUAUUCUCUCAAAUUUCCCCAGCUUAUUCUCUUCUUUCUUUAACUCGAAAUUGUUUGUUUGCUCAGCAAGUUUCGAGGCUUGCUCGACAAGAUACUUGCUGAGUCUGCUUGAUUCUGUUGUUGCACCAACAAUUGGUAUCUAGAGCUUAUUUCUUAAGGGACCUGUUAUACAAAACCAUGGCUUCAUCAAGCUUUUCACCAGCUGCACCUCAAGUAUUCAAUGGAGAAGGCUAUCACAUAUGGGUGGUCAAAAUGAAGACUUACCUGCAGGCUUAUGAUCUGUGGGAGGUGGUCAACUCAGAUGUUGAACCAGAACCACUUAGAGGCAAUCCAACAGUGGCUCAGAUCAGGCAGCAUGCUGAUGAGAGGACCAAGAGGCACAAGGCCAUGUCUUGCAUUCAGAACUCAGUGUCAGAUGUGAUUUUCACAAGGAUUAUGGCCUGUGAAUCACCAAAACAGGCCUGGGAUAAGUUGCAAGAAGAGUUUCAAGGGACAGAGAGGACAAGGCAGCAACAGUUACUGAAUUUGAGGAGAGAUUUCGAGAAUUUAAAGAUGAAGGAAGAAGAAACUGUCAAGCAAUAUUCUGACAGGAUUAUGGCUGUGGUUAAUAGCAUCAGGCUCCUUGGAGAGCAGUUUAAUGAAGCUAGGAUAGUGGAGAAAGUAAUAGCAACUCUGCCUGAGAGGUAUGAGGCAAAAAUCUCAUCUCUCGAGGACUCAAGAGAUCUGUCCACCAUUCCCCUGACUGAGUUGAUCAAUGCUCUAUAUGCUCAAGAGCAGAGGAGAGCAAGUAGACUGGAAGAGCAUCAAGAAGGUGCCUUUCAGGCAAGGACAAAUACUGCCUAUAAAGGCAAGAAGGCCUGGAGAGACAAGCCAAAGAAUGAUGCUGCGAGAAGAGAAGGUCAAACUUGCAAGCACUGCAGAAGGGCUGGUCAUCCAGAAGAAAAAUGCUGGUUCAAUCCAGAUGCUGUGUGUCAGCAUUGUAAGAAGAAGGGUCAUGUUGAGAGAGUUUGCAAGAGCAAGACCAAAUCAAGACAGAACCAGUCUCAACAGAUGAAAGCUGAGGCUCGAGUAGCUAAGGAGGACAGUGACCAAGAGGAGCAAGUCUUUGCUGUGUCAUGCUCAGCUGCUCAGGAAAGGCUCUCAUCUGGUUGGCUCCUAGACAGUGGAUGCACCAAUCACAUGACACCUGAUGCUGCAAUCUUCAAGUUUUUAGACAGAAACUGUAAAACCAAAGUCAAAAUUGGUAAUGGGCACUUUAUUCAAGCUGAAGGUAAAGGUGAUGUGCUGAUAUGCACUCCCACAGGUGCCAAAAUGAUCUCAAAUGUGCUCCUGGUGCCUGAAAUUGACAGAAACCUACUCAGCAUAGCUCAAUUGCUAGAGAAAGGUUACUCUGUGGUGUUCAAGGACAAGCAGUGCCAAAUCAGUGAUCCAAGUGGAUCCAAACUGAUGGCAGUCCCUAUGGCUGAUAAGAGCUUUGUGGUUGACUGGACAAAGAAGUCAGACAUUGCCUACACAGCCACAUCAGAUGAAUCUAACUUGUGGCAUCAAAGGCUGGGACAUGCCAACUUCAGAUCGAUGGCCCGAAUGGUCAGAGAAGACCUGGCUGAAAACUUCAUCAACUCAGUGGAUCAUGAUGAUGUGUGUGAAGUGUGUCAGCUAGGAAAACAGGCCAGAUUGCCAUUUCCCAUGAAUCAAGCCUGGAGAGCCUCUGAAAAACUCCAACUGGUGCACACUGAUGUGUGUGGCCCUAUGAGGACUGAGUCACUAAGUGGAAACAGGUAUUUCAUACUGUUUAUUGAUGAUUUCUCUAGAUAUUGCUGGCUUUACUUCUUAAAACAGAAAUCAGAAGUGGCCACUGUGUUUUGGAAGUUUAAAACUGCUGCUGAGACAGAAACAGGCUGCAAGCUUAAGACCAUAAGGUCUGAUAAUGGGACUGAGUACACCUCAGCUCAGUUCCAAGCCUUCUGUGAUAAGGCAGGCAUCAAACACCAGCUUACCAACACUUAUACACCUCAACAGAAUGGUGUAAGUGAAAGGAAGAAUAGGAGCUUAAUGGAUAUGGCCAGGUGCUUAAUGAUUCAGAAGAAUCUGCCUAAAGCACUAUGGGCAGAAGCAGUUAACACUGCAACAUACAUUCAAAAUAGACUUCCAACCAAGGCUUUGGAUCAGAAGACUCCAUUCGAGGCCUGGUUUGGCUUCAAGCCAUCACUGGCUCAUCUGAAGGUCUUUGGAUGCAUAUGUUACACACAUGUACCUGCUGUUAAAAGAGACAAAUUGUCUGAAAGGGCUCGACCUGGUCUUCUGGUGGGCUACAGCACUGUUAAGAAGGGCUAUAGGAUCUUGGAUCCUUCAACAAACAAAGUGUCAGUAAGCAGGGAUGUGGUAUUUGAUGAAAGAUCAUGUUGGAACUGGGAAAGGCAUGAACCUGAGGAAGUUUCUGAAGAACUUACAGCAAAACAAGCUGAGCCAGAACAAAGUGUUCCUGAAAUGGACAUUGAUGAUGAACCAGUCAGAGGAACAAGAUCAAUGACUGAGAUUUAUCAAAGGGCUCAUAUAGCCAUAGCUGAACCAAGUAACUUUGAAGAGGCUGAAGCUCAGCAAGAGUGGAAGCAGGCAAUGGCUGAGGAGAUCAGCAUGAUUGAGAAGAACCAGACCUGGGAAUUGGUUGAAAGGCCAGUCAAAAGGAAGGUGAUUGGGGUGAAAUGGGUGUACAAAGCCAAGCAGAAUGCUGAUGGAACCUUGAACAAACUGAAAGCAAGGUUGGUUGUCAAGGGGUUCAGUCAGAGGUAUGGCUUGGACUACCUGGAGACCUUUGCACCAGUGGCCAGGCUCGACACCAUCAGACUGCUGAUUGCCUUAGCAGCCCAGCUCGAAUGGAAAAUUCAUCAACUCGAUGUGAAAUCAGCCUUUCUGAAUGGUUUUUUAGAUGAAGACAUCUAUGUUGAACAACCACAAGGGUUUGAAAUAGCUGGGAGAGAGCAUAUGGUCUACAAAUUGAAGAAGGCCCUAUAUGGCUUAAAACAGGCUCCAAGGGCCUGGUACAGCAGAAUCGAUGGCUACUUGACUGAUCUGGGAUUCAAUCGAAGCAAGAGUGAGCCAACACUGUAUGUUAAGAAGCAAGGGACACAAACACAACUCAUUGUGUCCCUAUAUGUUGAUGACCUGCUGGUGACAGGAGGAGAUCGAGCAGUGCUGGUUAAUUUCAAGACCAAGAUGCAAGAGGUGUUUGAAAUGUCUGAUCUUGGGGAGAUGUCCUAUUUUCUUGGAAUGGAGGUGACUCAAGCACAGAAUGGGAUAUUUUUAAGUCAGAAGAGCUUUGCCACAAAGAUUCUGACCAAGNNNNNNNNNNNNNNNNNNNNNNNNNNNNNNNNNNNNNNNNNNNNNNNNNNNNNNNNNNNNNNNNNNNNNNNNNNNNNNNNNNNNNNNNNNNNNNNNNNNNNNNNNNNNNNNNNNNNNNNNNNNNNNNNNNNNNNNNNNNNNNNNNNNNNNNNNNNNNNNNNNNNNNNNNNNNNNNNNNNNNNNNNNNNNNNNNNNNNNNNNNNNNNNNNNNNNNNNNNNNNNNNNNNNNNNNNNNNNNNNNNNNNNNNNNNNNNNNNNNNNNNNNNNNNNNNNNNNNNNNNNNNNNNNNNNNNNNNNNNNNNNNNNNNNNNNNNNNNNNNNNNNNNNNNNNNNNNNNNNNNNNNNNNNNNNNNNNNNNNNNNNNNNNNNNNNNNNNNNNNNNNNNNNNNNNNNNNNNNNNNNNNNNNNNNNNNNNNNNNNNNNNNNNNNNNNNNNNNNNNNNNNNNNNNNNNNNNNNNNNNNNNNNNNNNNNNNNNNNNNNNNNNNNNNNNNNNNNNNNNNNNNNNNNNNNNNNNNNNNNNNNNNNNNNNNNNNNNNNNNNNNNNNNNNNNNNNNNNNNNNNNNNNNNNNNNNNNNNNNNNNNNNNNNNNNNNNNNNNNNNNNNNNNNNNNNNNNNNNNNNNNNNNNNNNNNNNNNNNNNNNNNNNNNNNNNNNNNNNNNNNNNNNNNNNNNNNNNNNNNNNNNNNNNNNNNNNNNNNNNNNNNNNNNNNNNNNNNNNNNNNNNNNNNNNNNNNNNNNNNNNNNNNNNNNNNNNNNNNNNNNNNNNNNNNNNNNNNNNNNNNNNNNNNNNNNNNNNNNNNNNNNNNNNNNNNNNNNNNNNNNNNNNNNNNNNNNNNNNNNNNNNNNNNNNNNNNNNNNNNNNNNNNNNNNNNNNNNNNNNNNNNNNNNNNNNNNNNNNNNNNNNNNNNNNNNNNNNNNNNNNNNNNNNNNNNNNNNNNNNNNNNNNNNNNNNNNNNNNNNNNNNNNNNNNNNNNNNNNNNNNNNNNNNNNNNNNNNNNNNNNNNNNNNNNNNNNNNNNNNNNNNNNNNNNNNNNNNNNNNNNNNNNNNNNNNNNNNNNNNNNNNNNNNNNNNNNNNNNNNNNNNNNNNNNNNNNNNNNNNNNNNNNNNNNNNNNNNNNNNNNNNNNNNNNNNNNNNNNNNNNNNNNNNNNNNNNNNNNNNNNNNNNNNNNNNNNNNNNNNNNNNNNNNNNNNNNNNNNNNNNNNNNNNNNNNNNNNNNNNNNNNNNNNNNNNNNNNNNNNNNNNNNNNNNNNNNNNNNNNNNNNNNNNNNNNNNNNNNNNNNNNNNNNNNNNNNNNNNNNNNNNNNNNNNNNNNNNNNNNNNNNNNNNNNNNNNNNNNNNNNNNNNNNNNNNNNNNNNNNNNNNNNNNNNNNNNNNNNNNNNNNNNNNNNNNNNNNNNNNNNNNNNNNNNNNNNNNNNNNNNNNNNNNNNNNNNNNNNNNNNNNNNNNNNNNNNNNNNNNNNNNNNNNNNNNNNNNNNNNNNNNNNNNNNNNNNNNNNNNNNNNNNNNNNNNNNNNNNNNNNNNNNNNNNNNNNNNNNNNNNNNNNNNNNNNNNNNNNNNNNNNNNNNNNNNNNNNNNNNNNNNNNNNNNNNNNNNNNNNNNNNNNNNNNNNNNNNNNNNNNNNNNNNNNNNNNNNNNNNNNNNNNNNNNNNNNNNNNNNNNNNNNNNNNNNNNNCAUGAAGCCAACACUCGAUUCCAUACAGGCCAUGAAGACCAAGCAAAGCUGGAACAGAUGCAAGAGCUGCUGAUGCAAGCUCAUUUUGUUCAUUUUGUUAUAUUUAGUUGAUGAAAUGAGUGUUAGUUCAUUUCUAACUAAGUUAGCUUUCUGAUUGAUGUAAUUAGCUUAUGUAUGAGCUGUAAACACAGUUUUGUACAAGUUUACAAGCUAAGAUUUCAAGUUUCUAUGUAAUUAGUGGAGGUAGGUAAUUACUUGUUGAUUUUGACAAGCCUUAUGCUUGAGUUAUGUACUGGCUUCAAGCCAUUGUUUUAUGUAUGAAUCAAAUCAGUUUUGUUCAUCAAUAUUCUCUCAAAUUUCCCCAGCUUAUUCUCUUCUUUCUUUAACUCGAAAUUGUUUGUUUGCUCAGCAAGUUUCGAGGCUUGCUCGACAAGAUACUUGCUGAGUCUGCUUGAUUCUGUUGUUGCACCAACAGUCCCCAAGCCCAGAAUAGCGCUUUAGUUACUCGAGAAAAAGAGAAAAAUUGGCAGAACGGUGGUGGUGAAUUCCACAACCUGCUUUGCGCAAAAAAACAAAGAAAAUUAAUUAGACCAUGUUUUUGAUUUCUAAUAAAUUUCUAGAUUCGCUGUUAAUUUCUGAAGGAGAUUUAGAAAAAAAAAAGAGAGAUUUCAUAUCUAACAAACAUUUGUUUGCAGAAGAUAAAAUAAUUAAUUAAAUCAACACAUGUAAUAUAUAAUAUUCACACGAAAACAGAAACGCUGGGGGAGGAAACUUCCUAUCUAAAAUAAUUAGACCAAGUUUCUGUUGAGUGAUCAAGGUUUGUGCUCUUUUUAAUAUUACCACGUGGAAAUCAAUCAUGUAUUAUAUAAAAUGUUUGGGACAAUAAAUUAUUUUCAUGUCUGCGGGUUUUAUCACUAUAAAUCUUUCUGUUUUCUUAAUAAAAUUGAAGCAACAAUUCUAUAGCUUUCAUCUACAUUUCGCCCCAGAAAUUAUAGUAAAGCAGAGACAAUGAAAGGAACAUUGAUGUUGAGUUGGAUUCUGAUCAUCUUCCUCUCCCAAGUAGCAGUGCGGAGCCAAUACUACUCAGAUACACUACCAUAUCAUCCCAGGCCACCUAAGGUCACCAAUCUUCACUUCUUUAUGCACGAACAUACGGGUGUUACAGCAGUCGUGGUAGCCCAAGCUAACAUCACAAGCAAUAAUUCAUCAGUGACAUUUGCUACCCUAGUUUCCGUUAAUGAUCCCCUCAGGACUGGUCCUGAGCCUGACUCAGAGGUGAUUGGAAAUGUUCAGGGUAUUUCGCUCUUGGCUGGAUCAAAUGCAUCGAGCACGCAGUACAUAGAAUUUGGAUUUAAUACCGGUAAGUUUAAUGGCAGCUCUCUAAGCAUAUUUUCAAGAGGAGAACCUGGGCUUGCGGUGGUUGGAGGAAGAGGACGAUUCAUGAUGGCAAAAGGGAUUGCACUAUUUAACCCUAUCCUUAUAAAUGCCACCAAUGUCAUUAUGGAAUUUAACGUUACUGUAAUUCAUUACUAAGAUGUUAUUUACAGACGCAAUCCUUUUGAAUUGUGCUCCACUUGAUUAGAAUACUUGUAUGAGAAAUAUAUAUAUAUAUAUAUAUAUAUAUAUAUGAUCUGAUUAAAAUAUAUAAUUCUCAUGUUUCAUCAUUGUACUUUAUCAUUAUAAGAGAAAUAAAGGUUAAAUUCUUAGCUACUAAAAAUGACACAUAAAUAUAUCUAUUCAGUAUUUAUCUUCAUCUCUGAUAGAGGUUGAUUUAUGCAAAAAUUGGAAAACACUGCUAUUUUAUCAUUUUGUCCCUUCAGAAACCAAUAUAAAAGUUGGUCAUUCUAUUCAUUUUGACACAACACAAGCAAACAACAGUUCUCCUUUUUCUCUCGUUUGUUUCCUUUAGCAAUUUUUCCGGGCAAAUUUUUUUGACUAAAUUUUUGCUUUUUCUUCUGAUUCCUUUCGAGAAGAGCGAUACCAGUUGUAUUUCCCCUUCUUAAUUCGAGUGUACAAAUUUUGAAAUUUUGCAUUAACAUUGGGGGACGAUGUUCAUUAUACGAUUACACCGGUCAGAACGAAUUUACUUUUAAGGAAGUGGCUCUUCCAUGACACAAUGAUUUUUUUUUUUGUGUACACUUAAUUUAUUUUCCCUAUCAAUGCUAACGAUUUUAUUUUGUAGUAGUAUAUUUCUAACAAAAAUAACUUCAGUUCCCGAGAAAUUAUUCAAAUAACCAAGAUCUUUGCUCGAAAAUCUCUUUGCCAAAGUUCAAACAAAGUUAGAGAAAAGUUUUAUUAUUUUUAUUGAUGCCAAAUUUCAUCCUCAAAUCCAGAUCCGACAAUUUUUAAGCUUUCAAUAGAUCUAUAAAUUAAGGCAUAAUACCAAAUUUAAUCUUGAGCGUGAUGGCCAGCCAAAGUUGUUCAAACGGCCAUCCGGCGGCGCGAUUGUGGCCCAAACUUGUUAGAUGGCCUCCAGAGAUUGUCGGCCUCCAAGUUGCCAUAUGACCCAAAUUUGUGUAAGUUUUCAAGCUACGCCGAGAAGAGGUUAAAUGGCCCUUGCUCCCGGUGUACCCUAACUACUAUGGGUUGUCUCCAAGGGCCAUUUUGGAGCACGAUCCCAUCCAUAAUUAUAUACUUUAAAAAUAAUUAAAGGUGUUGUGGCUACUUUUCAAUAUUUGAAAAUUAUAUUAAUUACAUGACAUCUGAUUUUAAAAUAAAUAUUUCUCGAACAGUAAUGACAUAUAAUAUAUUUUUCACCCAGAUUGUGGGUGCCGUGGGAGUUUACUUGGUAAAUAAAAUACUAAAACUUAUACCUAAAUUUAUCGAUACAAUUAGUUAUUUAUACUUAUAUUGUCUAAGUAAUUACAUUUCACCAUAUUUGACAGGAAAGAAGUGGAAGAACCAAAGAAUUAGUAAAUAUUAGGAAUAGCUACUGCUCCACAUGAUCAAGGACACUGCUAGAAUGAAGUUCUUUGGUCUAAAGGGAAUUGCAGUACAUACAAUUAACAGAAAAGUUUAUGAAGGUUGAGGAACUCUAGAAUUAAUCUUCAUAUAUCGGGAGAACAUAAUGUCGAUUGAUUGUAUUCUUCUAUUCUUGUUGCUUAGUUCUUAUACAUAGAAUAUUAUUGUUUGUUGUAGCAAAUUAUUUUCCUUUUCUGAACCAAAUCCACAAAUGGAGGUAUUUGAACGUCAAUGUUGAAAGAAGAUCAUAUUACUUGAAAUAUUUUAAAAGUAUUGUUGAAAUAUUUGGAGUUGCUGAGAUGUGGUUUAGGAAGUGUCUACUUCAUUCACUACUCUAGAAUCAAGUCGGAUCGGAUCAAUUCUAUCAGAUCCCUUAGAUUGAGGAGGUUGGAUCAUAUUAGAACGUUGAAGGUUUAGUUGCCAACAGUCCUUAUUUACUUUAGUUGUUAUUACUAUAUGGUUUUUAGCAUAUUUAGUUGUUGUUUAAUAGGUAUUCUGACAGAUCUUCAUUAUGAUAGCAUGUCUCAAAAUUUAUAUAUAUUUGAGAGACUUGUAUAAGUUGAUGUGUUGAUUUUUUAUAGCAUUUAAUAUGUUCAAGUGAGGAACUUUAUCUGUAAGAGUGCAUUUGGUUGUAAAAACUUUGUAUUGUGAUGUUACAUGCUAUGUUCUCAAGGNNNNNNNNNNNNNNNNNNNNNNNNNNNNNNNNNNNNNNNNNNNNNNNNNNNNNNNNNNNNNNNNNNNNNNNNNNNNNNNNNNNNNNNNNNNNNNNNNNNNNNNNNNNNNNNNNNNNNNNNNNNNNNNNNNAUGUAUUAUCCUUAAUGAGUUUUGCAUGCAAAGCAAAAUAAAGCAAAUAUCAACUCACUAAUUAUCCAAUGGUUAACUAAUACUAAGCGAUAUUACGUGGUCGACUCAUAAUAUGAAAUGACAAAUUAUAUUAGUAGAUAAUCUAAACACCUCUUUAGUCUUAUCUUUGGUAUCAGAAUAGAUGGCACCCAAAAAAUAGUAACAUGGAUGUGACUGACUAAGUUGACAGUAUAUCAUAAAAUACCCAAGUUAAAUAAAUCUUAGAUCGAUUUAAAUCAAAUAUAAUUUUUCAUUGUGUUCGGCCUUUAAUUAAGUCGAGACAAUCCAAUUUAGACACAAUUUUAUUAACUAAUCAACUUCCAAUAUAUACAUAGAUAAUUAAAAACGUCAAGGUGGUGGCAAAAAUUUGUUCUAACACCGAUUACUCUAUAACUUCCCACCUCAAACUUCAUAUCCUUAAUUAAAUUACCAAUAUUUUAAAAAAAAUUAAAUUAAAUGCCAUAAUUUAUCUCCUUAGAAAAAAACCUAGUAAAUCUUUUAUUUUUAAUAUACUUAUUUCUCAAGAUAUUAAUUAUAUACACCAUUUUUCUCAACCACAUUGCACGUGUAAAAAUUUUAGUAUUUAUUAAAAAAAAUUUCCAGGUCGUGGGACUUUACUUGGAAAAUAAAAUACUAAAACUUAUAAAAUAUUUUUGUAAACUGAUACUACUGAGGUAAGAUGAGUUGAUAGUUGCUAAGUGACACUCGAUAAUGCCACUGUAGAUUGCUUCUGAGAUGGUUAAAUACUCACCUUAUUUUGUUACACAAUUUAAUGAAAAAAAAUCUUUGGACUUGUUUAAUGUGAUGUGCUAUUGAAGAUACUAUGGUUCAUCUAUAGAAACUAGUCUUAGGCUUGGGCCCAACCCAAAAAAAACCAAACAAAAACCAAAAAAUAAAAGUCCAAUAACAAUACAUUGACCCAAUAAGGUCCAAUGACAAUAAAACCCAAACAUCAUUAGCCCAAAUAACAUAAACUCUAACCCAAUAACCAGCCCAAUGCACCCAACAUUUUCAUCAAAAAAACAAAAAAACCCUAGGUCACCCCGCGCCUAGCAAGCAACCAAGUUCGUUGCCGUCGCCUCCAUUUACACGCCUCACCUCCACGUGUGCCGCCACGUUCGUACCUGCAAAACGGACUAGAAGAGCCGAAAAGUAAAAAAAAUAGUGUAAAAAAAUAGAAAAAAUAGUAAGAUAAGUGUUAUUUUCAGGCUAUAAAAAGAGCCCCGAGUUUAUGUUCUGGUUACAAAUGAAUCAAAAGAAAACGGAAAAAAAUCAAUUCAAAUACAGAUCAUUUUCAAAGGUAGUUGUGCUGAUUUUUUUCGGCUUAUUUAUUUAUUUAUUUUUAAAGAAAACAAAAAAAAAAGAGAAAAGGAUAAAGGUCGUACCUUUUUGCGAGGGAGGUGUCGAUUUCAAUGAAAAUCGGUGUUUUUUGGGUUUGGGAGUCAAAAAAACUCAAAAAAUAUUUUUAAAAAUUUUCCGGCUGCCGCGGUGGUUCGGCACCGGCGUCCCACUGGAUUCUGGAAAGAGAGGAAGGGCUUUGAGAGGAUUUUGAAGGUUUUUUUUUUUGAAGAAAGGAAUAAAAUGAAUUUUUGAUAAAAAAAAAAGUUGAUUUAUAAAGCUUUUCAAAACUGCGUCGUUUUGAUUUAAAACACCAGGCGCAAAACGGCGCCGUUUCAGGCCCUUGACCCGAGGGGGACCCGACCUAGGGGAAGGAUCCGCGUGUUUUUGUUUUAGUGGGAUAUUUGCGCGUAUGGCCCCUUCGUUUUUUUAUUAUUUACAAUCAAGUUUCUUUUAUUUUUUAAUUUAGCCCUAUAAUUUAUCCCGGCUUCGUUUUUAGUCCCUGAUGGAACUGUGUGUUUUGGGAGGGUGAGCAUUAUUUCUCAUUCAGUCCCUCCAUCUCAUCUGCGCGUUUAAUCUAGUCUUCCCUUUUGCGUUUAUUGCCAAUUUUGCCCCAAAACUUUGUUUUAAAGCCCAAUUUAAUCCUAUUUUGUCAUUUUGACUAAUAUGUUAUUAAAUUAAUUAAUUCAAAAUUAUUAUAGCUAUUAUGCUUUACCUUAUUUAUUUAUGUACUUAUUAUUAUUAUAGCUAUAUCUUUAAAUCAAUUAAUUUUAUAUUAUUAUUUCCAUUAUUAUUUUUUAUUUACUAACUUAAACACUUUAAAUGCAUUUAUUUUAUUUUAUCUCCUUUUUUUUUGAAAAAAAAACUUUAGAUUAUUUAUUAUUAUUUUUAUUAUUUUUAUAACCCUAAUUUCAUUUUUUAAUAAUCAUUUUAAUAUUUCCUAGAUUAAUUUCCUAAAUGCUAUUUUGUGUAUUUAUUUAUUAAGUUCUUUUAAUUUUGAUAUUGUCUUGUUAUUUUUUUAUAUUAUUGCUUAUACCUUUAUUAUUCAUUAUCAUUGUUAAUUUUGUUGUUUUUUAAUAUUAAAGUGAUGCAUAUUAUGUGAUCAUUGUUAUUUUACAUUCGUAUUCUCGUUAUUCGUCGUUUUAAUACUGUAUUCGUGUAAAAUUUCAAGUAUCGCAUCAAUUUUGACCCAAAUGUAUAUUUUUUUAAAAAAAUAAAAAUACUUCGUAUUUUGGAAUUCAAAAAGAUUGUAUCCUAACUUACGGGGUCUCGAUUUUUUUUGAUAAUUCCAAAUAUAGAAUCCCUUUUUUUGAAAAAAAGCAAGUUUAUUUACAAAAAUUUUUUCUUGGAAAUCGGAAAAAGAUCAUGUUCCAACUUACAGGAUAUGAUUUCUUCUCCAAAACUGAGAUGAUCAAAUUUCUAAAAAUAAAUAAAUUUUUUGGUGUUUAUUCUCGUGUUGGGAUUAGAGAUGUUGUGUUCUAAUUCACGGGAUACAAUUUUUUUCUCGAUUAAUGUGAAAUACACCCUUCUUUUUUAAUAAAAGGAUUAUAUUUUUAAAUUUCUUUUUGAAUUUUUAAUUUUUCGACAUUAAGACAUUAAUUAAUCAAUUAGGUACCAAUUUUGGGCAUGAUGAGGGUGUUAAUCCUUCCUCGCAUGUAACCGACUCCCGAACCCUUUUUUCUUGAAUUCCGUAGACCAAAAUUAUUGUUUUAGUAAAAUUAAAACGUUUUAUUAAAACGAUUAAAUCGCAAGGUGAUCCGAUCACACCUAAAAAAAUUGGUGGCGACUCCCAUUUUUUUUCUAUUUUCGUUUUUAAAGUCAACCCCGUUUUUUAAAAUAAAACUGGUUUUGACAGAUUUUAUGUUAGCAAGCUGAAAUUGAAUAUAUAGGUUUUUCUAGAACUAUGAAAAUGAAGUUAUUUGAAGGUUGGGGAAUUAUAUUCUUUUAUUCUUGUCGUUUAGUUCUUAUACACAGAACAUUGUAGGAAUAUAAUAAUUAGCACGUAGAUUUAAAGAAAAAGAGAAAGAAGACUUCAUAUCAAUCAGACUUUUCUUAGCAGAAGAUAGAAUAAUUUAUAAAACCAACACAUCAAUCACAUGUAACAUCUGAUAUCAAAUAAAAUUAAAGUAAAAUUCAGACAAAAAUAAAAACGCAGGGCAGGAAACUUCCAAACAUUAUGUUUAUAGAUAGAAUGGUGUUUACAACCUUCACCCUUCUAAUUAUUAAGUGAAGAUAUUCGUAUUUGUACGUAUAUAAAAAAGGUAUAUUCCUAUUCAAAAAUCAAGCAGCUAAUUAGACCAAGUUGCCGUUGCGUGGUCAAGAUUUGUUUUCUUUUUAAUAUUACUAGGGAAAAAUCAACCAGUGAUUAUAUCAAAUAUUUUGGUCAAUACAUUAUUUCCAAAGUCCGCAGGAUUUCUCAGUAUAAAUGUCUCCGUUUUGUUCAUAAACAUGAAGCAAAAAUUCCACUACCUUUCAUCAACAUUUCUCCUUCACCCCAGAAAUUAUAGUAAAGCAAAGACAAUGAGAGGAACAUCGGUGUUGAGUUGGAUUCUGAUCAUCUGCCUCUCCCAAGUAGCUGUGCGGAGCCAAUACUACUCGCACACCCUACCAUAUCAUCCCAGGCCACUUGUGGUCACCCAUCUUCACUUCUAUAUGCACGAAUUUACGGGCACUACAGCAGUCGUGCUAACCCAAGCUAACAUCACAAGCAAUAAUUCAUCAGUGCCAUUUGCCACCCUAGUUGCCAUUAAUGAUCUCCUCAGGACUGGACCUGAGCCUGACUCGGAGCGGAUUGGAAAUGUUCAGGGUAUUGCGCUCCUGGCUGGAAUGAAUGCAUCGAGCACGCAGUACAUAGAUUUUGGAUUCAAUACCGGUAAGUUUAACGGAAGCUCUCUAAGCGUAUUUUCAAGGGGAGAAGCUGGGCUUGCGGUGGUCGGAGGAAGAGGCCAAUUCGCGAUGGCAACAGGGACUGCACUAUUUAACCCUAUCCUUAUAAAUGCCACCAAUGUCAUUAUAGAGUUUAAUUUUACUGUAAUUCAUUACUAAGAUGUUAUUCACAGAGUCAAUCCUCUUGGAUUGUGUGAAAGUUAUAUGAUUAUGCUCCACUUGUUAGAAUAAAUGUAUGAGAAAUGUUGACACCAUUUUUUUUGAUAAAACGGGGUCGACUUGGGUUUUGAGAAAUAAAAACGAAUAUUGGAGUCGCUACCAAUCUUUUUUUGAUGAGGUGUGAUCGGGUCACCUCGAAAAGUGGUUUUUUAAUAAACGAUUUGAUUUUAUUAAAAAACAAUUUUGGUCCACGAAAUUCAAAAAAAUGGGUUCGGGAGUCGGUUACGUAUGAGGAAGGAUUAGCACUCUCGUUACGCCCAAAAUUGGUACCUAGUUGAUUAAUUAGCGUAUUAGUGUUGAAAAUUGGAAAUUUUGAAGAGAUUCGAAAUACGAUCAUUGUAUUAAAAAACUUGUAUAAAGCGAAUUACAUGUUAAGGCCCUCUCAUUUUGGAGAGAUGUCACACCCAAUGAGUUAGAGCAUGAUAUUUCAUAUCCUCAAAAAUGAGCUUGUCCUUAAAAAACUCAUGCAAUAAAAUUCAAAAGGAUAUUCAAUUGUUUAAGUCAGAUGAAGAAAUCGUAGUCCAAUACGUUAAGGCAUAAUUUCUCAAAAUUCCAAACAUUGAAUAUUGCCUUUAUUAUUUUUUAGAAAAAUCCUUAUCUCGCGAAAACAACAUGUCAUAUCCAAUACGUUAGGACACAACGUAUCGAAUUCCCAAUAUGUGAAUAAAUGCCAAAAAAAUUUAUUUAUUUAAAAAGAUAUUCAACUAUCUCGGGUUUAGAAAAAGGGAUCAUGUCCCGUAAGUUAGAACAUGAUCUUUUGUUGAUUCCCGAGAACAUUUAAAAACCUUUUUUGAAAUGAUUCGUAUAUUUAGAUUUAUCGAGAAAAUCAAAACCCCGUAAGUUAGGUAUGAUUUUUCGAAUAUCAAAAUACGAAAUGCUAUUUGUUUUAAAACAAAUUUUGAUAUAUCGAGUAAAAAUGAAACACGAUGUCGUAACGAAAAAAAAAUUACAUUGUUGAUACGUAUAACAAAACAAUAGUAAAUACAAUGAUGUAAAAAUAAUACGAACGGUAGCAACAAAAAUAAGAUAAAAAAAAGACAAAUAAAUAACAUACAAAAUGACAAGUAUAUAAGUAAAUAAAAUUAAAAUAUUCUUUCAGAAUAAUAAUGAAAAUGUAAAUAAAUGAAUAAACAAAUAAAAUGAAUGAAAUUAUAAAAAUGAAAAAGAUACAUAUAUGUGUAUGUAGGGGUGAGCAUUUGAUCGAAUCGAAUCGAAAAUUUUCGAGUUAAUCGAGUUUUCGAAUCUCAUUUUAUCAUCCUAACUUUAUUUGAAGUUUUCUCGAAUCGAGUCGAGUGAGAUGGAAUUCGAAUCGAAUCGAAUAUAUUUGUUCGAGUUAAAUUUUAAAAAACAAUUUUGAGUCAUUGUAACCAUUGUCACCCAUCGUAAUAAAAUUUGUCCACCUUAAUCAAAUUUUUUAUUAACUUUCAUCACCUCAUAAUUUAUUUAUUAAUUUUUUAUAUACUGGUUAGCUUCUUUGCUUGCUUAGUUGUUUCAAUUAUCUUCAGAUUCUUGUCACUAUGUAUUUUGGAAUUAAAAAAUAUAUUAAAUGUAAAAAUAUGAUUUUUUUAAUAAAAGUUCUUUUAAAAAUAAAAUGUGAAAUUGAUACCAAUAUAAAAUUUUAACACGAAUAUUUUAUGGCAUAAUUAAUAAUUCAAUUUUAAUAUAAAUAUUCAAUAUGACUAAACAAUUCAAUAAUAUAAAUAAUAUAAAAUGUGAAAUUUAAUUUAAUAAUAUAAAUAGUAGAUAUAAAUAAAAUUAUUACUAUUUGUGUUUAGUAAUUUUUUUUGGGAUAAUUUUGAUUUUUUAUUUGAGAGUAAAGGGUGAGAAGUAAAAGUUUAAAGGAAAAAUAAAAAGUUUUGGGGAAUAAAAGUUUGAGGGAAAGUAAAUAGGGGGAGUAAAAUUUUAGAGGGAAAAUAUUAAAAAAAAUUGGAGGGGGGAGGGUUUGGGAUGGAUGGGAGGUGGGAUGGGAAGAGAAUAAAAGUUUUAGGGGAAAAGUGAGAGGGAGUAAAAAUUUUGGGGGAAAAUAAAAGGUUUUGAGGGUUUUUGGGAGUAAAAUUUUGAGAAAAAGUAAAUGGGAGAGUAAAAUUUUGGUGGGAAAUGGAUUUUGGGUAGAUUGGGGGGUUGGGAGGGGAGGAGAGUAAAAGUUUUGGGGGGAAAGUGGGAAGGAGUAAAAGUUUUGAAGGAAAAGUAAAAAGGUUUGGGAGUUUGGGGUAAAAAUGUAAAAUAUUAUAGUUUGAUAUUCGAAUUAUUUGAAUUAUUCGAAUUCAAAAACUCAACUCGAUUCGAACUCGAAAUUCUAAAAAAAAAUUCGAGUUGAUUCGAAUAACUUGACUAACUCGAAUAACUCGAUUCGUUUAACUCGAAAUUCGAAUUUUUUUCGAUAUUUUCGAGUCAAAUCGAGUUUUACUCACCCCUAUGUGUAUGUACGUAAAAUUAUGAAAAUAUGAAUAAUAUAUGCGUAUACAUAUUUUAAAAUUAUUAAAUAUAGAAAUAUAUGUAAGUAUGUGUAUAUAUAUAAAUUAUAAAAAAAAUAUGUAUAUUAUAUAUAUAACAAAAUUUAGGAAUUAAAAAGGUAUAAAUGAAUAAAUAAUAAUAAUAAUAAUAAUAAUAAUAAUAAAAGAAGAUUAAUGAUGCCAUAUAAUAGUAUUAAUAAUAUUAAAAUAAUUAAUUUAGAAAUAAAAUAGCUAAAUUAACAAAUGAAGGAUUGAAUUGAAAGUUAAACAAAAUUUAAAGGCCGAAAUCAAAGUAAAAAAAACAAGAAACACAGUAAAGGGUUAAAUCAGGAUGUGCGCGAAAGGAGGGGGGCUAAACAGGAAAUUAUCCCCUGUCGAUCAACCGACGCCGUUCUAGCGAGGCCUAUGCACAUGGUCUAUGGACCAAAAUGAAAUAAAAGCAAAACUUUGUGGCCAAAAUCAGAAAAAAACAAAAGACCACAUUGAAGCAAAACGCAAAGGCGGAGGGAUCUAUUGCGCAAAUAGCCCCCCAAGCAAAAACACGCGGAUCCCUUGUCUGGAGUGGGUCAGGUCGCGCCCCAAAACGGCGCCGCUUGAAAGUGCCCACAGUAGGCUGCCAUUGAGGCAGUUAAUUACUUACCUUAUUUGAGUUUGCAAUCUAUUGAAUAAAAUCUUUAGCCCUGUUAAUGAGUUGUCAUAUUGAAGAUACUAUAGUUCAUCUACAGGAAACAAUCCUUGGCUAUUGAAGAUUGGAUUGGAUUCGAGUGAAUCAAUUCAACCCUUGGAAUGUGGAGGUUCGAUCGAGAUUGUAUUGUUGAUUUUGGAGAGCAUGCCUUCGAUUAGCCGUGUUUCGAUUAUUGAUGUUGUGAUAGCUAUUUUCAAGGAGUUACUUUGUAUUCACUUAGACUUGAUGCUAGCAAACCAAAUUGAGUGAAAAAUGUAAACUUUGAGAACUAAACUUGACAUUAUGCUUUGAUAUAUGGAUCUAUUAGAGACCUAAGUAUUGCUGAAUCCGGAUUUAUUGACUCAUAAAAAUAAUAAAGCUUCUUUUCUGAUUUUAUUCAAACUUUGGCAGAGAGAUUUUCCAGUGAUUUGAAUCGUUUCAUGGGAAUCUCAAGAUUUAUUCAUCUCUAACACAAGAAUAUAUUUGUUAUGAUAUAUUGAGCAAAGUAAACAUGUCAAAUGCGAAGGAAUCAAACACACCAAUGUCCACUUUAGUUUCUUUUAAGUUUUCAUGGUGGCUUUGCUGCAGUCGACGCCAAAUUAAGAGGCCGAAAAUUUUGUUGCUUCGUUGUAAUAUUUGACAUUGACACUAAACAAUAAUUGUUUCGUUGUCAACAAACUUUCCAAAUUUGUGCAUAAACCAACCUCUAUUAGAGAUGAAGAUAAGUACGGAGUAGAUAUAUUUUUGUAGCUAAGGAUUUAAUAUUUAUUUCUCGUAUAAUGAUAAAGUACAAUGACCAAGUAUGAGAAUUUUAAUUUUUAAUACUACAAACCUAUAUAUUUCUCAUACAUUUAUUCUAACAAGUGGAGCAUAAUCAUAUGACUUUCACACAACCCAAGACGAUUGACUCUGUAAAUAACAUCUUAGUAAUGAAUUACAGUAACGUUAAAUUCAAUGAUGACAUUGGUGGCAUUUAUAAGGAUAGGGUUAAAUAGUGCAGUCCCUGUUGCCAUCGUGAAUUGGCCUCUUCCUCCGACCACCGCAAGCCCAGCUUCUCCCCUUGAAAACACGCUUAGAGAGCUUCCGUUGAACUUACCGGUAUUGAAUCCAAAAUCUAUGUACUGCGUGCUCGAUGCAUUUGAUCCGGCUAGGAGGGAAAUACCCUGAACAUUUCCAAUCAGCUCUGAGUCAGGCUCAGGACCAGUCCUGAGGGGAUCAUUAACGGCAACUAGGGUGGCAAAUGGCACUGAUGUAUUAUUGCUUGUGAUGUUAGCUUGGGUUAGCACGACUGCUGUAGUGCCCGUAAAUUCGUGCAUAUAGAAGUGAAGAUUGGUGACCACAACUGGCCUGGGUUGAUAUGGUAGGGUGUCCGAGUAGUAUUGGCUCCGCACUGCUACUUGGGAGAGGCAGAUGAUCAGAAUCCAACUCAACACCGAUGCUCCCCUCAUUGUCUCUGCUUUACUAUAAUUUCUGGGGUGAAGGAAAAAUGUUGAUGAAAGGUAGUGGAAUUUUUGCUUCAUGUUUAUGAACAAAACGGAGACAUUUAUACUGAGAAAUCCUGCGGACUUUGGAAAUAAUGUAUUGCCCAAAACAUUUGAUAUAAUAACUGGUUGAUUUUUCCCUAGUAAUAUUAAAAAGAAAACAAAUCUUGACCACGCAACGGUAGCUUGGUCUAAUUAGCAGCUUGAUUUUUGAAUAGGAAUAUACCUUUUUUAUAUACGUAUAAAUACGAAUUUCUUCCCUUAAUAAUUAGAAUGGUGAAGGUUGUAAACACCAUUUUAUCUAUAAGUAUAAUGUUUGGAAGUUUCCUGCCCUGCGUUUUUGUUUUUGUCUGAAUUUGACUUUAAUUUAUCUGAUAUCAGAUAUUAGAUGUGAUUGAUGUGUUGGUUUUAUAAAUUAUUCUAUCUUCCGCUAAGAAAAGUCUGCUUGAUAUGAAAGUCUUCUUUCUCUUUUUCUUUAAAUCUACGUACUAAAUUAUUAUAUUCCUACAAUGUUCUGUGUAUAAGAACUAAACGACAAGAAUAAAAGAAUAUAAUCGAUCAAUAUUAUAUUCCAUUAAUUCUAGAAUUCCCCAACCUUCAAAUAACUUCAUUUUCAUAGUGUCCUUGGUCAUAUGGAGCAGCAGCUACUCCUAAUCCUUUGCUCCUUCUGUACAAACCCAAAUAUGCCCGGGCCCAGACCAACAAACAAGCCCAAACAUUUAACCCCAAGCCCAAUAACUAAAUAGCCCAAUACUUAAAUAAAUGCAGAAAACCCUAGUAGCAGCAAGUAGCCGCCGCCCUCAAACGCCCCAGCAAUCUCCAGUCGCCGCAAGUUUCGGCCUCCACGCGUGCCGUUUCUCCGCAAACACCGCUCCUCAAGCACGUACCUGCAACAAGCGAAAGAGAAGAGAAAAAAAUCGGGCCAACAAACAACCGAAUAGAUUUAUUUGGAUUUAUUUUUUCUUUCCCAUUUUCGGCUAUAAAAGGCCAAUAUUUUCAGUGUAAAAAGGGGGAUGCAGUGUAAAAGAUACGAAAAUAGAGAGAAAAGAUUGAAAUACAAAGAAAAUUGAAGGUUAAUCGCGUUUAUUCUAUUUUCAUUUUUACUUUUUUUUUCUCUUUUCUUUUUUAUUUGUUUUGUGAAAUAAUAGAACAAAAGGGGAAAAGGGAGACUUACCUUUCGCCGGAGUCUUCGAGCUGGUGUCCCCUCCGUCGGAAUCGAGGCGUGGGCUGAACGGCGGCCAAAGGGUUAAGGAAACCCAGAAAGAAGCAGUUUUUGCUUCAAAGGGAAAGGCAAAAUAUUACCCUGAAUUUGUUUUUUUUCUAAAACUUAAAACGGAACAAAGAUGGUGUUGUUUAGUUUGGGGGUCUGCGCAUAUCGACCUUAAGUGGGAGAAUUGCGCAAUAAGUCCUCCCCCUUUGCGCCAUGUUUUAUUGAGCCAGUUAUUUCUUUUUAAUUUGGCCCAAAUAUUUUUACCUUGUUUCAAGUCGGUCCCCAUUGCUGCGCACCGUUUGGGGAGAGGGAUUAUUUUCAUUUUAGGUCCCCCAUGUAGUGCGCGCGUCGCAAAUUGGUCCCCUUUCUUUUUUUUUAAUUUCAUUUUUUGGUUAUUUUGUUUUUUUUUGCAUUUUUUUAAAAAUUAUUACUAUAUUAUUUAUUAUUAUUUAUUAUUAUUCCUAUAUUUAUACACGCAUUUUCUUUAUAUAGUAUAUAUAUACAUAUUUCUUUAUAUAAUAUAUAUAUUCUUAAACCUUUUUAAAUACAUGCAUUCUACAUUAUAUAUUUAAUUAUUUUUUUGUAACUUUUAUGUACCUUAUAUUAUAUAUAUGCAUACUUAUACAUUUUCUUUUAUUCUGUGAAUAUAUACAUCUCCGCAUACUCUUAUAUUUUUUUAUAUUAUUUUAUUUUUAUAGUUUUUGCAUUCAUAUAUGUACAUAUAUAUAUACAUAUUUUAAUGCGUGCAUAAUUUAUAUAUAUAUAUUUUUUCCUUUUUUUUUUGUUUUCAUAGUUUUUAUAAAUAAAUAUAUAUGUAUGUACACUUAUAUUUUACAAUACAUAUGUAUUUUCCUUAUUUUUGUACAUAUACGUAUUUUCUUUGAAAUCUACAUACAUAUUUUUGGAGAUUACUAUAAGUUCUGUUGUACAUGUUUUUUUACAUACGUAUACUUGUAUAUGUGUGUUAAAUAUAUGCAUACACAUAUUUUCAAAUUUACUUGUGUAUUGUGCUUGUGUUUACAUAUUUUGUAAAUACAUGUACAUAUAUAUUUUAAAUUAAAAUAUUUGUUUCAUAUUGUACAUUAAUUUUUAACGUACCCUUUGGAAAAUAAAUCUUGGUUUUUUCGAUAUAUCAAAAUCAUUUUUUCUUGAUUCAAGGGUUUUUUUUUGAAUAAAAGCAAUAUUCGAAGUUUGGGAUUUUCGAGGGAAAUUGAGCCCUAACGUAUUGGGUUCUAAUUUUCUUUGUUAAUCUUAAAUAACCGAGGAUAUUCUUCAUUCAAAAUGCAUGAGUAUAAAAAUCAUUUUUAGGAACUUAACUUGUUGUGCCCUAACGCAUUGGGUGUGGCAUGUUACUUUCUCAAAAUGAAGAUUUUCACAUAAAAUAAAAGUGAUAUUCAAAGUUCAGGGAUUAUGAGGAAUUGUACCCUAACGUAUUGGGACUCGAUUUCUUUACAUGACUUGAACAAUUGAUUAUCCUUUUUCAAAUUUCAUCAUUUGAGCCGAUUUUAGAAAUCUUUUUAACCUUCGACACUAAGAUAUUAAAUGAUCAAUUUGGUACCGAUUUUGGGCGUUACGAGGGUGCUAACCCUUCCUCGUGCGUAACUGACUCCCGGACUCAUUUUCUCAAAAUUCGUAGACCAAAAUAGGGUGAGCCGAUCACACCUUAAUAAAGGAUCGGUGGCGACUCCAGUUUUAUUUUUAAAGUCGACAACUAAAAUUUUUGUUUUCAAAAAACGGUUUCGACAGCUUGGCGACUCCACUGGGGACAUUUGAGAGUCCAGUCAUGAAUUGAUUAUGCUUUGUCUUUUUGUCGAAAGUCAAUUUUUUUUUAAAUCAUGAUUUCCUUUUGCAUUUAUUGAUUUUCAUCAUUUGCAUGAUUGAAUCAAGUUGGUUGGUCUGUAUUUGCAUUUUGCAUUGCAUGGUCAGUGUUACCCUUUAAGUAGGAGCGAGAAACUAGUCCUUCGUGAGGUUUUCACCUCCGUGCAGGGUAGUGGACCGCUUCCGAGAUACAUCCGUACCUAUGUCUUCGUGAGAUUUUCAUCUCCGUACAGCCAUAGGGAAAUGUAUCCCCCUGAACUGAACUCGAUCCACAUGAGCCUAUAAUGGGUGAGGAUCGAGGAAUCUACUGGUUCGGGUACCCUUACUUUAGAAAAUAACCCUCAUAUAGUAAACAUUAGGAACUUACCCUAGGUAGAGCUAUACCAAACCCUAGAGGGGUCCUGAAUAGGUGCUUUUAUAAUUUCCUGUGUAUAUUGAAUUAUGAUUUUAUACAUAAUACUGACUUUUUUAUGUUUCACUUUGACUGCAUAGCAUUUAGACUGCAUGGCAUUUCAUUAUAGAAAAGAGGUGUUGAUUCACGUUUGGUUGUUAAUAGAGAGCUCACCAUGGAAAACAGGUUUCUUGAUAAGGUGGAAGAUAAUACGAUUGUCUGAGUACAGUCUAAGAAAACGUGACGCGAAAGGUCUAACAAUUGGAGUAUACGAAUUUGCUACGUGACCUGAGAAUUCAAAUUGUCAAAGAUUAUUCAAAGUCAUCAAAUGUCCCAACCUCUUAAAGAAGCUAAUGAACGUGAAUGAGCAAGGAGUUACGACCUAGAUCAAACAAAAAAGAGUUCGAAUUCGCGAGGUGCAUCUUAAUAUCCGAAUGGUCGAUGCCUUCGCUUGGAGUACGAAGGUGAAGCCGUAUAUAUAUAUCCGCUUUAUGUAAAGAGAUUUAUUUUUUAGUAAAACUUUCUAGUAAAGAAUUGAACAUAAAUCAACGUCUCUUUUUUGCAUUCAUUUCAUGCAUUUGCAUUUCAUUACAUUAUAUGCAUUAGACACCUUUAAAUGAUCCUAAUUAAUUAAAAUCCCUGCUCAGUUAACCUGGAAACCAACCAACCAACCAAGCACCGUUACGGCACUCGAGCAAAGAUUAAAGACAUGGAUCAGAGAUUGGAAAAGCUUGAACAAUACCAGAAGGAGAUGCAAGACUUACUUCAGCUACAAGUGCAGGAGCGGUUAGACAAGAUGCAACAGGAUAUGUCUGAGAAAAUGCAGGAAUCCCAAAAGGAUAUGAUGGCAAAGCUAACCAAACUAUUGACCGGAGGAGGUGAUAAGGGAAAGGGUCUCAUGGCUGAUGUCAAAGGGGGUAAUGAACCACUCUAUCUUCUAGGCUUUACUCCUCCACAUGUUCGAACUCAAUAUCCACAUAAACCCACUGUCACAAUCAAGCCUCAGCAGUCCCAGGCCAGUGCUUCGAACUUUUAAGUUAGAUUGGGCUCUAACCCCGAAAACUACCCUGUUAACUCUGUCAUUCCUGACUUUGAUGAAGUGGCUGAAAAGGAAAGAAUAAAAGAGGAGUUACCAAGGCAGUUAGAGGAAAGGUACAAAUGGCUAGAGGAGAAAUUCAAGGCGAUGGAAGUCACUGAAAGCUAUCGCGGGAUUGACGCCAAAGAGCUAAGCUUAGUUCCAGAUUUGGUACUCCCUCACAAGUUUAAGAUGCCAGAAUUUGAUAAGUACAAUGGGACAACUUGCCCAGAAGCUCAUAUCACCAUGUUCUGCAGGCGAAUGGCUGGAUACGUUAACAAUGACCAGCUAUUGAUACAUUGUUUCCAGGAUAGCCUUUCAGGGGCAGCAUCUAAAUGGUACAAUCAGCUAAACCGUACCACAAUUGGUUCAUAGAGGGACUUGGCACAAGCGUUCAUGAAACAGUAUAGUCAUGUGACAGACAUAGUUCCUGACAGAAUCACCCUUCAAAAUAUGGAGAAGAAGCCGAACGAAAGUUUCAGGCAGUAUGCACAAAGGUGGAGGGAGGUCGCAGUCCAAGUUCAACCACCGCUCUUAGAGAGAGAAACAACAAUGCUCUUUGUCAAUACGCUGAAAUCUCCAUUCAUUACGCAUAUGUUAGGAAGUGCUACAAAAAGCUUUUCUGACAUAGUCAUGAAUGGUGAAAUGAUCGAAAAUGCUAUAAGAAGCGGGAAAAUUGAUACAGAGGAGAGUAACAAGAGGUCAGUCUCAAAUAGAAGAGAAAAUGAGGUGAACAACACAGGUUACUCUAAAUUAGUUACCGUGAGUCAGCCAAGAAAGGUGGUUGGUAAUCAACAGAAUUCAUCGAGGCAAGAUUCCGGCAUGAAGACUGAGAAGUUUCAGUUUACGCCAAUCCCAGUACCGUAUAAAGAACUGUAUCAAAAUUUGUUUGAUGCACAUGUUAUUUCCCCUUUUCAUGUGAAGCCUCUACAACCUCCGUAUCCCGAAUGGUAUAAUGCCAACACACAAUGUGAAUACCAUGCUGGGGUUACGGGACACUCGAUUGAGAAUUGCACUGCCUUCAAGAAGCAAGUUGAAAGACUCAUCGACAUGGGUAUUGUCAAGUUUGAUGACCCAUCUAGUGCAGGAAAUCCGCUACCUAAUCAUGAUGGAUGAUGAAGGGAAUGCAAUGUAUGAAGAAGUGGUGAGGUUUUCAUAUCGAUGCCAUAUAUGCAGACACAAUUAAAGGGUCCUUAUUAGAUAUUCGCCUUAGAGGUGUUCUAAAUAAUGAGACUGUAGAGGAAACCCCUGAUGUAUUUAGAGUCUGUUAGAGUAAUGUUCAGAACACACUUGUUGCUUUCAGCCUAGAAGCAAUAAGAAUUUCUUUGUGAGAUAGGCUCACGUCUAAACAUUAUUAUUUUAAUGAAAUACAUUAUUACAAUCAUCUUUGAGCAAAUGUUCUUUCAUUCUUUACAAUUUUUUUUCAUUCCUUCAGAUUCUUUUCUGCCAAACCAUUCAUUUAUUCAUUCAUUUAUUUGUAUAUCCUUUAGCACCCACUAUGGGUCCCCAAAUAUCAAUGACAUGAGUGACGCUGCUACAGACUCAAAAUCGCCUUCUGAGUGAGACAUGUGUUUAGAGGGAUCUCAUGACUUUGAAGAUGUCAUAAAUUGUAGUCUAUUUCUAGACUUAUUAAGGAUGGUAGAGCAGGAAGGAAAUUUUACCUCAUGAGGAGACAAUAGAAACUGUGACCUUGAGGAACAUGCAUGAUCGAAGAAACAAAGCAAGAUGUUGUUGAGCUACUUCAAGAAUUCAAAAAUGUCUUCGUAUGGUUAUACCAGGGUAUGCCCAGGUUAAACACUGUCAUUACAAUCUGAACAAUAGCAUGAUAUUAGAAACUUGCAGUAUGUUCAAGGUGAAUAUCAUGAAUGGUGCAGUGAAAACUCUACCGGGGCAAUGCCACUCUUUUCAGUUUAUCAAGAUUUUUUUCCAUUGAAGUUGAAAUUCUUUCUCUUCGGGUUUUGGCUGGAUGAGGCAGAAUAGAUCCAAUCGCAAUGUGAUCAAUUGAACUUGAUAGAAGGAAGAAGAUUAAAAGUUAUUCAUCAUGGUCAGAUGUACCAGAAAUGAAUUAUGCGAGCCUAUAACAAAAGGUUCAUCCUAGAGAAUUCCACGAGGGUGACCAAAUGUUGUAGAUCUUCCCUCUACAAAAAAUAUUUUGGAAGGAAACGGAUACCAAAUUGGGAGGAACCUUAUGAUUAUAGAGAAGGUUUUUUUCAAAGGAGCUUUGAUUUUGAGCGAGAUGAAUGAUAAAACCUGCAAAGUCCUGUAAACUCAGAUUCAGUCAGGAAAUACUCUACUUAGAGAAGGAGAGGACCAAGGUAAAAACCCGCAAAGGGCAGCUUGAGUCCCAAAAAAAAAGAAAAAGAAGUGAUGUGAAAAAAUGAAAAGAUGAAAAUAAAAAAUGAAAAAGUAAAAUGGAGAGGCUAAGGUGAAAACCCGUAAAGGGCGCCUUAGACCAAAGGGGAUUUGAGUUGAAAACCCAAAAAGGGCGGCUUAAAUGUUGGUCAAAAUGGCGUUUGAAUUUUUCAGAGCAGCUCAAAUACUGAUCAGAAUGGGGGCAUGCAGUGGUCUUGCUAUACCUGAAUCAACAGGAAAGGGUAGGCGACAUCUUGGGGCAUCGACAAAGUACUCCUAAACACAUGUUAAACUCAGAAUGGUCUUUAAAAAUUUGUACAGAGAAGUUCAAGCUGCGAUAUCUGGGGCACCUAAUCCUUAUAUUAUUUUUUGUUAUUCUUGGAACACUUCAUUCAUUUCCAAGAUAUGCAUUCAUAAAUCAAUUUCUUUGUUAUCCAUCUUUAUUAUCUUUGACAACUUAUUCAUUUCAAGCUAUGCUCAGAACCAACUCAAUUCUUAUCCAUGAUCUUUUUUACAAGCAUGUUGCAUUAGAAUAAUGAUUAAUGGACUAAUAAAACUUUCACAAGGGAAGUUUUGCAUAUUACUCUAGAAGUUUCUGAAUAAUAUAGGAACCUCAAACAAGACUAUUGUUUAGAACGCAUCAGGUUGGAAAUCUGAUAAAGAAGAGUCAAAAUUAAGACUAUCUCUUUGGAUUUUCUUGUCUAAAGUAUUACUUGAACAAAAUGGUAAGAUGUCGUGUUGGUGACAAAGCUUCAAUGAAUAAGCAAGUAAUGAUCACCGAAUAAUAAGAAGAAGUUGUUCUUGGAGAAGAUUUCUUCAUUUGUGCAUGAGCAUUUGGUACAACACCCUGGGAAUUGUGUAAGAGACCAAAAAGUUUCACAUCCUGUAUCCUUGAAUUGUGAUAACAGAGGAUUGAGAAAAGGCCAAAUUUUUUACUCUUGGGUUACAACGGGAAAAGAUGGUACAAAUUUUGCAUCCCAGUAGAUCAAACUUGGAGGUUUACAGCGUGGGGCAAUCUGGUCAAGUGCUUAUUGGGUUCACCAGCCGAGCAUAAAGGCGCUAUAGUACAUUAAGCGAUAAGACCUUAAUAAACUUGGAGUAAUGACAACUCAAGUGUUAAAAUAUCAUUUUUAUGACAUUCUACAUUCAUUCAAAUGUCAUUCAUACAUGUCUAGUUAGGAGAAUUUGAUUCAUUUGAUCAUGACAUCCUAUUCACUAGGCAUAAUUAGGUUCACAAAAUAAAUCAUACAGGUUAUGUUCCACAGAGAACAGAUUGGUGAAAUCAUAAAGCCUUAUCUCCCUGAGUUGCCGUGGAGCAGGUUGAAAAGAUAGCAGAUCUUGUCUUCCCAUACUGGUGGCGAAGUAGAUCAAAGAAAGUAGAUCUUGUCUUCAUGUACUGGCGUGAAGUAGAUCAGAGAUAACAGAUCUUGCCUUCCCAUACUGGUGGCGAAGCAGAUCGAAGGAAAAAGCAGAUCUUGUCUUCAUGUACUGGCGUGAAGUAGAUCAGAGAUACCAGAUCUUGCCUUCCCAUACUGGUGGCGAAGCAGAUCGAAGAAAGCAGAUCUUGUCUUCCCAUACUUGUCUUCCCAUACUGGUAGCGAAGCAGAUCAAAGAAAGCAGAUCUUGUCUUCAUGUACUAGCGUGAAGUAGAUCAGAGAUACUAGAUCUUGCCUUCCCAUACUGGUGGCAAAGCAGAUCAAAGAAAGUAGAUCUUGUCUUCAUGUACUGGAGUGAAGUAGAUCAGAGAUACCAGAUCUUACCUUCCCAUACUGGUGGCGAAGCAGAUCAAAGAAAGUAGAUCUUUUCUUCAUGUACUGGCGUGAAGUAGAUCAGAGAUAACAGAUCUUGCCUUCCUAUACUGGUGGCGAAGCAGAUCGAAGGAAAAAGCAGAUCUUGUCUUCAUGUACUGGCGUGAAGUAGAUCAGAGAUACCAGAUCUUGUCUUCCCAUACUGGUGGCGAAGCAGAUCAAAGAAAGCAGAUCUUGUCUUCAUGUACUAGCGUGAAGUAGAUCAGAGAUAACAAAUCUUGCCUUCCCAUACUGGUGGCGAAGCAGAUUGAAGGAAAAAGCAGAUCUUGUCUUCAUGUACUGGCGUGAAGUAGAUCAGAGAUACCAGAUCUUGCCUUCCCAUACUGGUGGUGAAGCAGAUCAAAGAAAGCAGAUCUUGUCUUCAUGUACUAGCGUGAAGUAGAUCAGAGAUACUAGAUCUUGCCUUCCCAUACUGGUGGNNNNNNNNNNNNNNNNNNNNNNNNNNNNNNNNNNNNNNNNNNNNNNNNNNNNNNNNNNNNNNNNNNNNNNNNNNNNNNNNNNNNNNNNNNNNNNNNNNNNNNNNNNNNNNNNNNNNNNNNNNNNNNNNNNNNNNNNNNNNNNNNNNNNNNNNNNNNNNNNNNNNNNNNNNNNNNNNNNNNNNNNNNNNNNNNNNNNNNNNNNNNNNNNNNNNNNNNNNNNNNNNNNNNNNNNNNNNNNNNNNNNNNNNNNNNNNNNNNNNNNNNNNNNNNNNNNNNNNNNNNNNNNNNNNNNNNNNNNNNNNNNNNNNNNNNNNNNNNNNNNNNNNNNNNNNNNNNNNNNNNNNNNNNNNNNNNNNNNNNNNNNNNNNNNNNNNNNNNNNNNNNNNNNNNNNNNNNNNNNNNNAGAUCAAAGAUAACAGAUCUUGUCUUCCCAUACUGGUGGUGAAACAGAUCGAAGAAAGCAGAUCUUGUCUUCGUGUACUGGCGUGAAGUAGAUCAAAGAUACCAGAUCUUGUCUUCAUGUAUUGGCGUGAAGUAGAUCGAAGAAAACAGAUCUUGUCUUCAUGUAUUGGCGUGAAGUAGAUCAAAGAUACCCGAUCUUGUCUUCCCAUACUGGUGGCGAAGUAGAUCGAAGAAAGCGGAUCUUGUCUUCCCAUACUGGUGACGAAGCAGAUCGAAGAUGGCGGAUUUUACCUCCCUGAGAUUACAGUGGAGUACAUUGAAGCCAGUUAUUCCUAUCUCAUUGAAGUUGCAAUGGAGUGGAUUAAAGUACCAGUUCCUAUACCUCUGAAGAUGCAGUAGGAAGGAACAAGGCUACUGGAAAGAGAAGCAUGAAAUAAGUUGAGAUUCAGUAGGACCAGGAACAAUUGGGCCUUGUAGUCUUUGCUCUAUUCCCGUUACACGACAAUGAACAAAGAGGGGCAGUUGUAAUAGGCCCAAUCGAUCCAGGUCCAAACAAAAUUAAAAUCAGUCCAAGAUUUACAAGCUCAUCUAAAGCAAACACGACCCAAAAGAAAAAAGAAAAGCUAAACCCUAGAACCUUCAGCAAAUGGCAGCAAGGAGCGCCGCAGCAAGCUGUCAGUGUCGUGCCCAACGCCCAGUCGCCGCACAACUCGGAGGUCGGCCUCCCCACGCGCGUUUACACUCCAUGAACGCCUGAAAAAAUGGACUCAAUGAGUCCAAAGAAAAACAAACAGGAAGCAAUAUUUUUUUUUCCUUCUUUUUCGAUUAUUUUCUUUCUCUUUUUCGGCCUAUAAAAGGCCAUUUUGUAAUCUGUAAAAUGGGGGGGAUUUUCGGUGUAAAGGAAUACACAUAGAAACACUGAAAAAUACAGAGAAAAAGAAAGAAAGAUACAAACUUUUCUUGAAUAUAAAGGUGGCUUUUUUUUUCCGGCGUUCAUUAUUUUUUUCAUGUUUACUGUUGAUUUAUAAAGAGAAGAGAGUGAAGAGGAGUUUACCUCUGUGUUCGGGCCACCGUUUGCUACCAUCUCCGCCGCAAUCGGGGAUCCGGUUCAAAAGGCCGACGAGCGACGACGCAGAAGGAAAAAUUUAGAAAAAACCCUAGCAAAGGAUUCUCAAUUUUUUUUCCCUUUCAGCUGUAAAUAAGUUUUUAACAAAAAAAUUUGUUUUAAAUAACAAAAGUGAAACGGCGCCAUUUUGCAAGGGGCUAGAUCCGCGCGCCGACCUGACCUGCAAGCAGGGUCCGCGCGUUCUGGCCCUGAAUGGGGAAUUUACGCAACUGGUCCCUCUGUUUUUGAGUCACCUUCAAUGCAAUUUUUUUAUUUUCAAUUUUGACCGCACGUUUGUUUCUUGUUUCAAUUUGGUCCAACAUGAAAACGCUGCGUAUAAGGGGCUGGUACAUUUCUUGUUUGCUCCUUGAUGUUUCCAGCGCACUACAAAUUAGUCUUCAGCUUUUAUUAUUUUAAAUGUUUACCUGAAAGUUUCCUGUAGUUUCAAUUUGGGUCCCUUGUUAUUAAUUAUUUUAUUAUUAAAAUUAUUUAUUUUUAUUAUAUUAUUUAUUAUUAUUGAUUAUUAUCAUAUUUUCUAUACAUAUAUAUAUAUACGCAUAGUUUUUUUUAUAUAUAAUAUAUAUAUGAGCAUUUUUUUUAUAUAUAGGUAUAUAUAUAUUUUUAAGCUUUUAUAAAUACAUGCAUAUAUUUUAUACAUAUGUUUUAUUUUUGUUUUUUACUUUUUUAUAUAUACUUUUUUUUGUAAAUAUAUACACAUGUACAUAUUUUUAUAUUUUUAUCUUAUUUUCAUAAAUUUCGCAUACAUAUAUAUACAUGCAUAUUUUCUUAGGAAUUAUAAUAGGUUUUUGUUUUGUUUUAUGUAUUUCAUUUAUUUUUUUAAUUUUAUAUACGUAUACUUAUAUAUACCUGUUUUAAUAUAUGCUUAUACACGUUUUCAAAAUUUAUUUAUGUCUCAUACUUAUAUUUUGAAAAUACAUAUAUACAUAUAUUUUAAAUUAAAGUAUCUGUAUCAUAUUGUAUAUUAACUUUUUAACAUACCCUUUUGAAAAUAUAUUUUGGUUUUAACCAUUCAUCAAAGUUAUUUUCUUGAUUUAAAGGUUUUUUUUGAAUAAAAGCAUUAUUGGAAGUUUGGGAUUUUCGAGGGUAAUUGAGCCCUAACGUAUUGGGUUCUGAUUUUCUUUGUCAAUCUUAAAUGACCGAGAAUAUUCUUUAUUCAAAAUGCAUGAGCAUAAAAAUCAUUUUUGGGAACUUAACUUGUCGUGCCCUAACGUAUUGGGUGUGGCCUGUUACUUUCUCGAAAUGAAGAUUUUCGCAUAAAAUAAGAGUGAUAUUCAAAGUUCGGGGAUUAUGAGAAAUUGUACCCUAACGUAUUGGGACUCGAUUUCUUUACAUGACUUGAACAAUUGGUUAUCCUUUUGCAAAUUUCAUCAUUCAAGCUUAUUUUAAAAUCUUUUUUUCAAAUUUUCGACACCAAGGCAUUAAAUAAUUAAUUUGGUACCGAUUUUGGGCGUCACGAGGGUGCUAAUCCUUCCUUGUGCGUAACUGACUCCCGAACUCAUUUUCUCAAAUUUCGUAGACCAAAAUUAUUUUUAAGGUGAGCCGAUCACACCUUAAUCAAGGAUCGGUGGCGACUCCCAUUUUCGUUUUUAAAGUCAAAAACUAAAAUUUUUGUUUUCAAAAAACGGUUUCGACACCUUCCACUUCUUUCCUGUCAAGUUUGGUGAAAUGUAAAUUACCUACAAAAUAUAAGUAUAAAUAACUAAUUGUAUAGGUUUACAAAAUAAGAAAUUCAGUUCAACAAAAUAAUUAAUAUUUUAUAAUCUACCAAGUAAUUUUGAGGCAGUGCCAACCCUUUUGACAUCCUAAAUUUUACUCUUCCUCCGAUGAUCGCAAGCUCACGUUCUGUCUGCGUUAUAGCGUUUUCGUGAGAACUGUUUGGUAUACGUGGGGGGACGAAAUAAAAUUAAGUGGAUUGAGCAUUGAGUCAUGAUAAUAACUUCAGUCCGAUACUACUCCUAAUAUUUUCCUAUUUCGUUUAUCCUUCUACUUCUUUCCUGUCAAAUUUGGUGAAAUGUAAUUUUCCAACACAAUAUAAGUAUAAACGACUAACUGUAUCUGUUGCUACUUUAAAUUGUUUACUUGCUAAAAUACAAAAUUGAAAGGGAAGUGUUAGAUUGUAGUGGUCACUACGGCUUGGCACUUCCAAAUGCCAAUUCUGUGCAAACAAAAUUAUAAAGAACAUCAAGGUUUCUUUACAUAGUUCGGUUUCUUUAUGUCCAUAGAGUCUAACUCAGUGAGUAAUUUUACUAUCUUUAACUACACUCUAUCACUUCUCAAGAAUAGAAAUCUCACCUUUGUACCUGAAGAUUAGAACACUCAAUAAGCUCUCAUACAAAACCUAAAUAAGCCUGUAUAUUCAAUUUCGGCUUGCUAACAUGGAAUCUAAGUGAACACAAUUUUACACAUUAAAACCAGCUAUUACAAUUACAACUUUCAAAGCAGAAUCAAACGAAGAUAUGAUUUCCAGAAUAGCAAUGCAGUCUUGAUCGAAUCUCGACACUUUCCAUGGGUUGAAUUGAUUCAUUCAUAUCCAAUCAAAUCCUCAAAAGCCAAAGACUAUUUUGCAUAGAUGGACCAUAGUAUCUUCAAUAACACAUCACAUUAAACAGGUCCAAACAUUUUUUUGCCACCACCUUGACGAAUUAGUCUACAGUGACAUUAUCGAGUACCAGUUAGCAACUAUCAACUCAUCUUGCCUCAGUAGUAUCAGUUUACAAAAAUAAGAAAUUUUGGUCUACAAAGUAAAUAAUAUUUUAUAAGUUUUAGUAUUUUAUUUUCCAAGUAAAGUCCCACGACCUGGAAUUUUUUUGCACUAAAUAUUAAAUUUUUUUACACAUGCAAUGUGGUUGAGAAAAAUGUUGUAUAAAAUUGAUAUCUCGAGAAAUAAUUAUAUUCAAAAUAAAAGAUUUAAUAUUUUUUUUCUAAGGAGAUAAAUUAUGGUAUUUAAUUUAAUUUUGUUUUUUUUAAAUAUUGGUAAUUUAGUUAAGGAUACGAAGUUUGAAGUGGGUAGUUAUAGAGUAAUCGGUGCUAGAACAAAUUUUUGCCACCAUCUUGACGUUUUUAAUUAUCUAUGUAUAUAUUGAAAGUUGAUUAGUUAAUAAAAAUUGUGUCUAAAUUGGAUUGGACCGACUUAACUAAAGGCCCAACACAAUGAAAAACUAUAUUUCAUUUAAAUGGAUUUAAGAUCUAUUCAAUUUGGGUUUUAUACGAUGUACUGUCAGUCUAGUUAGUUACAUCUAUAUUCUUAUCUUUUGGGAGUAAUUUGUUCUAUAUUAAAGAUAAGAUAUGUCACCAAUUAGGCUAGAUAGAGAACAUAUUAGUAUUUUAAUCGAUUUUCUCAAUUCCGAUUAGACUAAGGACGUGUUUAGAUUAUCUACUAAUAUAAAUUGUCUUUUUAUAUUAUGAGUCGACCACAUAAUAUCGCUUACUAUUAAUUAAGCGUUGGAUAAUUAGUGAGUUAAUAUUUGUUUUCAUUUUGUUUUGCAUGCAAAAACCAUUAAGAAUAAUAUAUGAAGAUGUUAAUGAAACUGAUGAAUAUUUUAGUAAAUCAAUUUGUUCGAAAAUUACAACUACAUGUAGACGACAAUACUACACCAAGGCACUAGAUCCCAAUGCACCCAAGAGACAAUUUUCUAACCACUAAAUUCUCCUAUUGAGAACAUAGCAUGUAAAGCCACAAUACAAAAUUUGUACAAUCAUAUGCACUCUUACAAAUAAUGUUUCUCACUUGAAUGUAUUAAAUGUUAUAAAAAAUCAACACAUCAACAUUAAUCUAUACAAGUCUCUCAAUUAAAUAAGGAUUUCGAGACAUGCUAUCAUCAUAAAAAUCUGUCAGAAACCUAUUAAACAAUAGCUAUAUAAGCUAAAAUACCAUAUAAUAAUAACAACCAAGAUAAAUAAGGACUGUUGACAACUAAGUCUUCAACAUUCUAAUCUGAUCCAACCUCCUUGGUCUAACGUAUUAGAUAGACUUGCACUUCCUCAAGCAUAUUUUUAUAAUAUUUCAAGUAAUAUGAUAUUCUUUCAACAUUAAUGAGGCUUUAAGUUCAAAUACCUCUAUUUGUGGAUUUGGUCCAGAAAAGGAAAAUAAUUUGCUACAUCAAACAAUAGUAUUCUAUGCAUAAGAACUAAGCAACAAGAAUAGAAGAUUAAUACAAUCAAUCGAUAUUCUCCCGAUAUAUGAAGAUUAAUUCUAGAGUUCGCCAACCUUCAUUAACUUUUCUGUUAAUUGUAUGUACUACAAUUCCCUUUAGACCAAAUAACUUCAUUCUAGUAGUGUCCUUGAUCAUGUGGAGCAGUAGCUACUCCUAAUAUUUAACUAAUUCUUUGGUCCUUUCACUUCUUUCCUGUCAAAUAUGGUGAAAUGUAAUUACUUAGACAAUAUAAGUAUAAACUAAUUGUAUCGGUAAAUUUAGUUAUAAGUUUUAGUAUUUUAUUUACCAAGUAAACUCCUGUAAUUUUUUUUUUCAACAAAUACUAAAAUUUGUGACACCCACUAUGUGGAUGACAAAAAAUUUUAUGUAAUUAAUUCCUCAAGAAAUAUUUAUUUUAAAAUCAGAUGUCAUGUGAUUAAUAUAAUUUUGAAAUAUUAAAGAGUAGCUUCAACAUCUUUAAUUAUUUUAAAAAUAUAUAAUUAUCAUGGAUGGCCCUUCUAACAACUUUGGCCAGCCAUCAUGCUCCGAAAUGGCCCUUGGAGACAACCAUAGUUGUUAAGGUACAUGAGGAGCAAGGGCCAUUUAGCCUCUUCUCGGCAUUGCUUGACAACUUACACAAAUUUGGGUCAUCUGGCAACUUGGAGGCUGACAAUUUCUGAUGGUCUUCUAACAACUUUGGUCAACAAUUACGCUCGCAGAUGGCCGUUUGAACAACUUUGGCUGGCCAUAACGUUUAAGGUUAAAUUUGACAUUAUGUUUUGAUUUAUUGAUCAAGCUUAAGAAUUGCGAAAUCUGAAUUUAUUGAUUCAAACAAAAUAUUGUAUCACUAAAAAUAAUAAAGCUUAUCCCUUUGACUUAGUUAAAACUUUUGUGUAGAGAUUUUUCAUUAAAGAUAUUGGUGAUUUGAAUCAUUUCUUGAGUAUUGACGUAUAAAGAUUUAUUCAUCUCAACACAAGAAUAUAUCUGUUAUGAUAUAUUGAGCAAAGUAAACUUUCUCAUUUUUUUGGUAAACCAACCUCUAUCAGAGAUGAAAUAAAUACUGAAUAGAUAUAUUUAUGUCUCUUUUGUAGCAAACAAUUUAAUCUUUAUUUGUAAUAAAAUAAUAAAGUACAAUGAUGAAGUAUGAGAUUCUCAUACAUUUAUUGUAAUCAAGUGUAGCAGAAUCAUAUGACUUUUUCACAGUCCCAGAGAAUUGAGUCAGUAGAUAACAUCUUAGUGAUGAAUUACAGUAACGUUAAAUUCAAUAAUGACAUUGGUGGCAUUUAUAAGGAUAGGGUUAAAUAGUGCAAUCCCCUUUGCCAUCAUGAAUCGUCCUCUUCCUCCAACCACCGCAAGCCCAGGUUCUCCCCUUGAAAAUACGCUUAGAGAGCUGCCAUUAAACUUACCGGUAUUAAAUCCAAAUUCUAUGUACUGCGUACUCGAUGCAUUUGAUCCAGCCAGGAGCGAAAUACCCUGAACAUUUCCAAUUACCUCUGAGUCAGGCUCAGGACCAGUCCUGAGGGGAUCAUUAACGGCAACUAGGGUGGCAAAUGGCACAGAUGAAUUAUUGCUUGUGAUGUUAGCUUGGGCUACCACGACUGCAGUAACACCCGUAUGUUCGUGCAUAAAGAAGUGAAGAUUGGUGACCUUAGGUGGCCUGGGAUGAUAUGGUCGGCUCUUCGAGUAGUAUUGGCUCUGCACUGCUACUUGGGAGAGGCAGAUGAUCAGAAUCCAACUCAACAUCAAUGUUCCUCUCAUUGUCUCUGCUUUACUAUAAUUUCUGGGGCGAAAUGUAGAUGAAAGCUAUAGAAUUGUUUCUUUAUUUUUAUUAAGAAAACAGAAAUAUUUAUAGCGAUAAAACCCGCAGACAUGAAAAUAAUUUAUUGUCCCAAAUAUUUUAUAUAAUAUUUCGCCGUAGUAAUAUUAAAAGGAACACAAACCUUGAUCACGCAAAAGAAACAUGGUCUCAUUGUCUAUGAUCCACUUGUAAAUUAAUUUUAUAUUGGAAGUUUCCUCUCCUACGUUUUUAAUUUCGUGUGAAUGGUGCAUUGUCCAUUGACUUUAUUUUAUUUGAUAUUAUAUAUUACUUGUGAUUGAUUUUAUAAAUUAUUUUAUCUUCUGCAAAUAAAAGAUGUUUGAUUUUAUAAAUCAUUUAUUUGAUACGUUUUUUCGGGUAUUCUAAGAUUAAAUAUGACAAAAAAAAGAAGAUAGGAGUGAGUUAUCAUAGAAUAUUUAAGAAAAUUUUUCUUAUAUAUACAUCUUAGAAUGCCCGAAAAACCUAAAAAAAUGCAAUUUCCUGUAAUUUAGUGUACAAAUUCAUAAAAUCGACACGAACUACCACAUGGCCGUGUGGAAUGGGUCAGCCCGUGUGGCUCAUGUAGCUUACUCUGAUUUUCCAUUCUUCACACGUUUUGCUCCCAAAUGCUCUAUUAAGCAUUAAAAUAUGAAUUUAAAGGAUUAGGAUAAUAAAAUUCACCAUUAACAUCGAAAAAUCACCUAAAAACGAAUUAAGAGCGAGGUUAAAAUAUGGUUUCUUUUAGCACUCAUCAAAUAUCUCCAUACUUAAGCGUUUGCUUGUCCUCCACAAUCAAGUGCACUUCCCUUAAUUUAUUGUUUUCACCGAUAAUGUCUCAGGAUAAUCCACAGAUAAUCAAGCAUUAGAAAUUCGAACUAAAAUGACACUAAAGAAUACAAGUAAUCCAAGCAAAAAUUUUCAAUACAUAAAAACAAAGGCAUCUCUCCUAUCUCAAUAAUUACAUGAAAUUUAAACUCAACAAGAAUUGACAUCCUCACUAAGGAUCACUCAAAGCACUCAGAGUCUUUAAUGUUCAAGGACUAUGCACUCAAUAGUCGAAUGAGAAAUGUUAUUACCAUAGGCUUGCUUGAAAAUUAGAUCUCUACCACUAAAGAAAUGAGAUGACACACCUAUUACCUCACAUAAAUACUAAGAAACCUUUAGUUUCAUAUGAUCAGUAAAAUGCAUGUUUCACUAAGUAGAAGAUCUGAAAGGACUUAAUUUGGUUUCUAAACUCAUGAAAGAUCAAGUUGCCAUGGAAUGCUUUCCGAACACUGUUAAGCAUGAUGAAAAUAAAUUAAGUUGAUUAAUGUAAUUAUCUUAACCUAUACAUGUUAUUGAUUGUUGAAGUUGUGUUUCUGUUGCUAAAAUCCAUUCAUACAUUUAGAUUAUUUUGCAUACUUAGUUUAAAAAUGCAUUAGGGACCAAAUUUUGCAUCCAGUUAAAUUAAUUUAGUUAAAUCAUCAUCACUAAAAUUAUUGUGUUUGAUAAUACUCUGGAUUGACAUAUUUUUAUGUAUUAAUUACAUAAUUAUUUUGAGUAUGAUCCUGCUAAUUUGAGCUAUUUAUGGUUUUUUUAUAUGCUAGGGAUUAAAUUGAAGGCAAAAGGAAAUUUAGGAGCAAAAGCAUGAAUUUGAAACAAAAUGGGCCAGCAUGCGAAAUAGGAAAGAAGUUGUGCCAAAAAUGCAAAGUGUGGAAGACUUGAGAGCAACAGUUCAAAGAAAAGAUUUUAUAAACACAAUACUCUAUUUAAAUUUUAAUUAUAUUAGGAUUAUUGUUAAAAUUAUUAUUUAAAUUUCAUUUUAGCUUUUAUCUUUAUUUAUCUUUUAGAAUUUAGAUAGGAAUAAACUAGGUUUUCUGAGUACUAUAAAUAGAGGAUGGAGUGACAUAAAUUGCACUCAUCUUUUCUGUAAAAGCUCCCUCUCCCAAAAAGCUCUAGCUUUUGUUCCUUUUAUUUAUUCAAUAAAAUUCCAUUUUUAUUAAGUUUAUUUCUUUUUCCCCAAAAAGCAUGAGCCACUAAAUUCAUCUAGCCAAAGGUUGUCGAAGAUUACCCAAAAAGGGUUCAUGAGGCUUAGAAUCCACACUUAACCUUCUCAACAAAUAUUCGUCAUUUCUCUGUAUUACAAGAUUGACGCUUCUAUCCAUGUCCCUUCAAAUGUGAUCUUUUCAUCUUGUGCAAAGGCGGCCGCUUUAUAUGUUUUGGGAAGGUUGCACAGUCGGUUCGUUAGCCUACUGCGUCAGUGUUUGUCAAGUCCAAGAGACAAAAUAGCGUGGCAUUCGCCAUUGAGAAGUGAUGAUCUAGUGUAAAACGGUUCCAUAAAAGUGACGAUUGGUUAGAGUCAGGUUCCUCUAUAUCGUGAGUCUAAAAUCUAAGUGGAGCUGGUGGUCAUAGGCGUCCUCUUCCACUAUAACUGGCUUAUUCUGUUAUGAUAAGGAUCAUCUAAAAGCCUAGGAUUGAACCUGAGGAGGAUCGAGAUAACCGGAGGCUGGAAUCUCUUUAUCAAAAACUCUAUUUUCUUAAUUCUGUUUAUUUUUACAGUUUCAAUUUCAAUUUAUGCAAUCUCAACUCAACCAAACUUUUAAUUUUGUUUUUUUAUUCUUUUCCAGGCACGCUAUUUUUAUUGGGCAAGACUUUGCUCGGGAUAUCGAGGAAGAGGAACCUGUGCAAGUCCAAUCCCUGAAGAUUUGACCCUACUUCCCUUAUACUAUUCUUUUCAUUAUUUUAUAGGGAUAUGAUACUUUUGGUGCUCUCAACGAUGCACCAAAUUUUGACACUGUUGCUGGGGACUAGUAACGUACUAAUCUUGCUCCUUUUGUUUCUUAUUACCAGAUCUGUUCCAAGUAUUCUUACAUUUGAUUCAGAGAUAGAGAAGAUUGCGUGAGCUAAUCGCAAAGAAACAAAACUACAUAAAAAGCAGUUAGGGGUGGUAAGGACUCAGACUAACCCACCGCUGGAGAUAGAAGCAGAUGACAAUGUGUCUAGGGUUAACGAAAACCCUACUCAAACACUAGAAAAUGAAAGAGUAGGAGUCGAUCCACCAGAAGAAGUGCUUAAUGUGAGGGUUAACGAAAUGCAAAACAAAAAUCCCCACAAACAUUUAAAAGAGUUUUAUAUGGUUUGUCUUAGCAUAAAACCUUAGGGCAUAACUAAGGAUCAAAUCAAAUUGGGUGCUUUCCCUUUUUCCCUAGCAGAUUCUACUAGGGAAUGGUUAUUUUAUCUACCCUCUAGAUCUAUUACAACUUAAACUGAUCUUUCUCGUUUGUUUCUCAAUAAUCUUUUCUAGCAUCGUAUGCAAUUGAGUUAAUAAGGGAGAUCGUUGGGAUAAGAAUAAAAGAAGUAAAGUCUCUUUAUGACUAUUGGGAGCGAUUUAAGAAGUUGUGUACAAGUUGCCCACAACAUGGUAUAACGAAACAGUCUUUACUCCAAUACUUUUAUGAAGGAUGGAAACCUAUAGAAAUGAACACGGAAGAUGCCGCCAGUGGAGGGGUAUUGGUCAACAUGACUCCCCAACAAGUAAGGGACUUGAUAUCCACGAUGGCUAUGAAUAAUCAACAAUUUUGAGCCAAUCCUAAACCCACUAGAGGGGUUCACUAGCUAAGUAAUUCAACCUUAGAAGAUAAAGUUGAUAGACUUACUAAUAUUAUGAAUUCUUUUAUUGCAGAAAAAGCAAAACUAACUUGACUAUGCGGAAUUUGUUCCAUACCUAAACAUACAAUUGAUUUAUGUCCUAGUUUGUAUGAUGAUACUAUGGCCUAUUUGAAUGCUGUGGAGAACUUUCCUGGGCCACCACAAAGUCGAUAUGAUCCUUACGCUAAUACCUAUAACCCAGGAUGGAAAAACCAUCCUAACUUGAGUUAUAGGGUCAACCUACGAUAUAACUAGCCAUACCAAAAUUAGUUUCAACAAUAGCCGCGAGAUUGAUGUACUUCUCUAGAAACCAUGGUCAAUAAAUUAGCAGCUAAUAUGCUUGAUUUUUAAUAGAAAACUGAGGUGUCUAUAAGAGAGUUGACCAUAUCAAUUGAGAAAAUGAACUCUUAAGGGAAGCUACCAUCACAAAAAGAGCCAAACCCAAGACAAAAUGCAAAUGUAGUGACAUUGCAAAGUGGAAGAGAACUAGAACCAAUUCCUGGUAGAAAUCUUGGCAAAGAUUUUGCCCAAGAGAAGCACGAGAACGACGAACUAGUUCGAAUGAAACCUCCAUUGCCUAAAAUUCAACCUCCAUUUCUAAGAUGAUUGAACCAAAAUCGGAAAGGUAAAGAGGAUAAGGAGAUCCUCGAAACAUUCAGAAAUGUUGAGAUCAACAUACCACUAUUGGAUGCCAUCAAACAAAUUCUGCGAUAUGCCAAGUUUCAUAAGGAGCUCUACACCAACAAGUGAAAAUUAACUGGUAAUGAAAGGGUAAGCGUUGGUGAAAAUGUAUCCACAGUGUUAUAGUGGAAGAUGCCAACAAAAUGCAAAGAUAGGGGAAUGUUUACAAUACCAUGCAAAAGAGGCCACUUAGGAAUUAAAAAAGCUAUGUGUGAUUUAGGGGUCUCCAUAACUGUAAUGCAUUUUCUAUUUAUGAAUCACUUACCAUGGGUUUUUUAAUGAAAAUAGGUGCUAUCAUUAAGUUAGCAGACACGUCUAUUGUGCAUUCUGAAAGAGGAUCGAGAUAACUGGAGGCUGGAAUCUCUCCAUCAAAAACUCUCUUUUCUCAACUCUGUUUAUUUUUACAAUUUCAAUUUCAAUUUACGCAAUCUCAACUCAACCAAACUUUUAAGUCUAUUUUUUUAUUUUUUAUCCAGGUACGCCAUUUUUCUUGGGCAUGACCCUGUCCGGGAUCUCGAGGAACAAGAACUUGUACAAGUCCAGUCUUUGAGGAUUUGACCUUACUUCCCUUAUACUAUUCUUUUCAUUAUUUUAUAGGGAUAUGGUAUUUUUGGUGUUCUCAAUGACGCACCAAUGUUUUUAUACCAAAUUGUGAAUUUAUAAAUUUGCAAAUAAUCAAUUAACACACACAGCCCCUAUGGAGAUGAUAACUCAUUUUACUUACUUAUUACUUGAACAACUGUGUACACUUGCACAAUAAUCCCGUUACAAAUGUUUUUCAUAUUCAAAAGGAGUAAGCUUUAUGCAUGUCAUGGAUGAGAAAAGUAUGGCACUGGGUGUAGAGAAAAGGAUAAAAUUUUUAAGAGGAUGUAGAGAUUAUAAGGUUUUCUAAAUCUUCUCAAAUAUAUAAAAAUUAUUUGACAAGAAAAUCCUUGUCCCAUAAUAAAUAUAUACCUUAAUCCUGAGUGGAUGAUGGACUAUGUAUGUGUGUAUCAUAUACUUUGAGGUAAGUAAAAGUCUGAGUUCAAAUAGAUAAGGAACCAAAAGUUGGUGCAUUGGAUAUACGACUUCUGUAGUAUAUAAGUUCGUUCACAAUAGUGGAAUUCAUUGCGCAACUAAUGGGUAAAUGAUACAAAUUCAUCUACAUUACAUGCUAGAUGAAAAUUAAACAUGAUCAUAGAUCGUUUGUCUUUGUGGUAAAUGGCUUGAUUACUAUUUGUCCUAGACAAAUGAUUCGUGGCCUUGUUACUUUUUCAUCUAUCAUUUAAUGCUAAUGAGAGAAUAUCAUUUACCCUUUAAUGGGUUAUGAAUUCCACUAUCUGAAUGAAGCUAUGUCGUGCAAAAGUAGUAUGCCUAACAUAUUAGCUUUCGGAUUUUUAGUUGUUUUGAACUCAAUCUUUCACUACAUCUAAGUGUACGAGUUAUGCACACAUAGUUAGUCACUUAGUCAAGUUUGAGGUAAGUCACUAUGAACAUCACAAAUAAAUUAAUCCACAAACAAAUCUAAGAUUAAUUUGAAUUGAGUCUUUCUUUAUGUAUUAUCAAUCCAGACAAUAACAUCUACGUCUCUAUCUUCUGGGAGUCAUCUGUUUCGAUACUAAAGACAAGAUAUCUAUCUAAUAGAACUUGAUAGACUGCAUAAUAAUCCUUUAACUGAUUUGCUCAAUUUCGAUUUAAUGGACCUUUUAAAUUAUCUACUAAUAUAAGUUAUCUUCUCGAAUUGAUCCGACCAUAUAAUACAACUUAAUAUCGGUUAAACGUUAGGUAAUCAAUGACUAAUAUUUGUUGACAUUUUACUUCUUUUGCGCUUGUUUUUAUAUUCAAAAUUUACCACUUUCUUUUGCAAAUUCAUUUUAUUCUAUUUUAAUUAGUUUAUAGUUAACUACACUUAGACUCCCUUUGGAUAGGUGAUGAGAUUAAUCCGAUGAGAUUGAAAAUAGUGGUAGCGACAAUAUUAUCUACUAUUGAUGUACUAAAACAACUCUUCAUGACCUAAAAUAAAUUAAAAUUAAUAAAUUUUAUUUAUUAACAACAGAAUACCGCCAAACUCAAGAGGACGCCUCUAUAAAUGAAACUAUUCGUGGCAUUCAACGAGAGAAACGCCACUAAUAUAUACAAAUUAAAAUUUAAAAAAUUAAUUAUAUUUCUUAAUUGUAUAAUUUACGGUAUCUGAGACUUGGUCGCCACCAUGUGCACUAAUGUGUUAUCCGCUGAAAUGUUGAAAUUCGCUGGCUGACGUGAGUGAAUUAGCCGCGUUUUCUGGGUAACCUCCACUUAUCAUGCGCAUAAGCCACUACAGGAGUACCUAUGUGGCACUUUUCUCUGUAAACGCCGCAAGGUAUUGCCGCGGUGAGUGGUGAGAUGCAACAUGAUAUGAUCGUGGUUUUCUUCAAGUCAACUGGAUGAGGUCGCAUAUAAGCAAUCUUGCUCCUUCCUGUCUUCCGCUGUGAGUGAGCUUUGUUCAACAAAGUGAUCUGAGAGGAUAGGUGGGUUUUACUUGUUGUAAGGGUGGAGUGGCAACGUCUAGCAACUAUAAAUUUUGCAACCAUAUAAGCCAAACUGUAAAAGACAGCACAUAAUUCAUCAAAUAAAUAAUCUUAUUCAUAAUACAUAAAAAUAAAAUAAUUAAUUCAAAAUCAUGCACAAUUUUCUUUAAAAUAAUAUAAAUGUCAAAUGCUAAAUAAUAUGAUCAGAACAAGAAAGAGAUAAUACACUAAAAUAAUACAGUUGAAUGUUUGAGUUUAUAAGUUAAGAGUAUUUUUAUUAAUAUUAUAUUCCAAUUCGAGUUAAGAUUUUUUAUCAAACUAAAAGUGAAAAUUUAUAUCAAAGAAAGAAAUUGUAGUAAGUUGAGUGUCAAAUCCGUUUUUUAUUGAAAAUGGUGGCAAAAACAUUAAUUUUUUAAUGAUGUUGACGCGACAACUUAAUUACAUAUACUUUAUACAAACAUUACAAUUCGUUUUUUUUAUGUUACCUCACCAAAUGAUUUAAAAUUUAUAAAAUAUUCAAAUUAUAAAAAAGAGUUCAUAAAAAUUCAUAAAAUUAGCAUGGACUACAUGUAGAUUGCUAAGUGGGCUGUUAUGUUUAAAAGUUUAAUGUUUUAAUAAGUAUUUCUAUUUAAAAAAAAUAACAAUUCGAUUCUUUUUUAAAUGUUGGUGGUCAAAUUUGACCUCUUUAAAAUGGUUGAGACUAAAACCAAUAUGAGUAAAAAAUAUAAACAUUAAGGGUUAAAUUUGAUAUUAUGCAUGGACUUAUCGAUAAUUAGAGGCUUUUAAGUAUAGUUAAAUCCGAAUUUAUUGAUUCAAACAAAAUUUUGUAUCAAUAAAAAUAAUAAAAGUUUUCUUUUUUACUUUGGUCAAACUUUGGUGGAGAGAUUUUCGAGUAAAGGUGUUGGUGAUUUGAAUCAUUUCCUGGGAAUUGAAGUCAUUCUCAAGAUUUAUUCAUCUCAACUCAAGAAUAUAUCUGUUAUGAUAUAUUGAGCAAAGUAAACUUGCUGCUUCGUUGUAAUAUUUGACUUUGACACCAUUUCAUAAUUGUUUGGUUGAUAUAUUGAGCAAAGUAAACUUUUCUCAGCUUUUGCGUAAACCAACCUCUAGCAGAGAUGAAGAUAAAUACUGAAUAAAUAUAUUUGUAAUAAAAUAAUAAAGUACAAUGAUGAAGUAUGAGAAUGUCAAUCUCAUACACUUAUUCUAUCCGAGUGGAGCGGAAUCAUACGACUUUUUCACAAUCCAAGAGAAUUGAGUCUGUAAAUGACACCUUAGUAAUGAACUACAGUAAAGUUAAAUUCCAUAAUGACAUUGGUGGCAUUUAUAAGGAUAGGGUUAAAUAGUGCAGUCCCUUUUGCCAUCAUGAAUCGUCCUCUUCCUCCGACCACCGCAAGCCCUGGUUCUCCCCUUGAAAAUACGCUUAGAGAGCUGCCGUUAAACUUACCGGUAUUAAAUCCAAAUUCUAUGUACUGCGUGCUCGAUGCAUUUGAUCCGGCUAAGAGGGAAAUACCCUGAACAUUUCCAAUCACCUCUGAGUCAGGCUCAGGACCAGUCCUGAGGGGAUCAUUAACAGCAACUAGGGUGGCAAAUGUCACUGAUGAAUUAUUGCUUGUGAUGUUAGCUUGGGUUAGCACGACUGCUGUAACACCCGUAUGUUCGUGCAUAAAGAAGUGAAGAUUGGUGACCUUAGGUGGCUUGGGAUGAUAUGGUCGGGUAUCUGAGUAGUAUUGGCUCCGAACUGCUACUUGGGAGAGGCAGAUGAUCAGAAUCCAACUCAACAUCAAUGCUCCUUUCAUUGUCUCUGUUUUACUAUAAUUUCUGGGGCGAAAUGUAGAUGAAAACUAUAGAAUUGUUGCUUCAAUUUUAUUAGGAAGACAGAAAGAUUUAUAGUGAUAAAACCCGCAGACAUGAACAUAAUUUGUUGUCCCAAACAUUUUAUAUAAUACAUGAUUGAUUUCGCCGUGGCAAUAUUAUAAAGAACACAAAUCCUGAUCACGCAACAGAAACUUGGCCUAAUUAUUUUAGAUUGGAAGUUUCCUCCUCCUGCGUUUCUGUUUUCGUGUGAAUAUUGUCCAUUGACUUUAAUUUAUUUGAUAUUAUAUAUUCCAUGUGAUUGAUGUGUUGAUUUUAUAAAUUAUUUUAUCUUCUGCAAACAAAUGUUUGUUUGAUGUGAAAUCUCUUUUUUUUUUUUUCUUUCUAAAUCUCCUUCAGAAAUUAACGGCGAAUCUAGAAAUCAGAAACAUGGUCUAAUUAGCUGCUGGCUCUAAUCAAUUUUCUUUGUUUUUUACGCAAAGCAGGUUGUGGAAUUCACUACCACCGUUCUGCCAAUUUUUCUCUUUUUUCUUGAGUAAUUAAAACUUUAUUCUGGCUUGGGGACACUAAUCAAUCCGAGAGAGAACUGUGAUGCUUUCAAUUUUGCCUAAAUCUUCCACACUCUUGCAACACUUUAUUGGAAUUUGUUAAAUUUGGAACUGAAUUGUGUGCUAAUACAUGUCUCAUGGAAUUUGACAUUUUCUAUACUCGCUUAGACAAAUUGCUCAUUUGAAAAAACGAAAAAGAAAAAAAAAAGAAGUGAGAACAGAACUGAUAGCUUAAAUUAUGAGUAAGAACUUGUGUAUUGUGACGGUUGUUUGAAUUGUUAUCGCACUUCGCGUCAAAAGCUCUAGUACUGUUUCAAGUCAAUAAAUUACUCUAAUCACGGUGCCAUAAGAGAGAUAUAUUGAAUUGUGUAAUCAUCUUGAGUUGUCAUUUCAUUUUAUGUUAAAAGAUUCGACAACAUCUUAAACAAAAAGAAAUAAAUAAAUGUCUGUGCGAGUCUAAUUGAAUAAGUCCAUGGAAUGAAAACAUUUUCCGGGAUAUUGUUACAUGACUCGAAUGAUUGAACAAAAGGUGUGCUUGAGAACAAGCUUUCUUCAAGUCAGCCGGAGGAGGUCUGUCAUCCGGUGUGAGUGAGCAAUAUUGUUCAACAAAGUGAUCUUAGAGGGUAAGGGUGGAGUCACCAUGUCUAAAAGUUAUAAAUUUUUUAACCAUAUAAGUAAACGUGUAAGAAAAACACAUAAUACAUCAAAUAAAUAAUCUUAAUCGCGAUACAUAAAAUAAAAAAAAAUGAUUUAAGAUCAUACACACACAUUGUUUUAAAUAAUAUAAAUGUCGAUUCCCACACAAUAUCUUCAAAACAGGAAAAAUAUAUUACACUAAAAUAAUAUAGUUGAAUGUUUGAGUGUAUAAAUUAAGAAAAAUUUUAUUAAUGUUUUAUUCCAUAUGAAAGAAAGAAAUUGUAGUAAGCUGAAAAAUUUAACACAUUUGGCCUAUAGUUGGAGACUAGAAAUUCAAAUUUAACUUCUCCUUAUUGUGAUUUAACUUUUGUUAAACUUAACUUAAGCUUCAAUUUAAUCCCAGAAAUUCAACAGAGUCUAGAUUGGAAGUUUCCUCCCCCUGCGUUUUGAUUUUCGUGUGGAUAUUGCCCUUUGACUUUAAUUUAUUUGAUAUUACAUAUAAUAUAUGAUUGAUGUAUUGAUAUUAUAAAUUAUUCUAUUUCUGCUAAGAAAAGUUUGUUUGGUAUGAUCAAGUCUCUUUCCAAUAUAAUCAACUCCGACAUAAGAAAUUCAUUAGAAAUCAGAAACAUGAUCUAAUUAACACCCAAUUGAGAAAUUUAUAUCAAUUUUCUUUGGUUUUUGCGCCAACCAGGUGGUGGCCCAUUUUUUAAAUUAUUAUUUAAUUAAUUAUAAUUAAUUAACUUAAGUAUAAUGCGAGAAAUAAAUUUAAAUAAUUAUCAUGGAUUUAUUAAAUAAGACAAUUAAAUAUAUUUUUCUUACAAAUUUAUUAAAUAACUUUAAUGGAAUUAUAAUUGGGUUGAAAUAUAAUUUAAUUAAGAAAAUAAUUUAAUUAAUUUAUAUAUUUAAGAAAUAUAAAAUAAAUAUUAGGUUAUAUAAAUUAUAAGUGUUGGAUAAAAAACCCAAAUUAGGUCUAGUUAAUGGAAGGGAUGGCAAGCCUUAGUAUUUUCUAGGCCAUGCCACCGCCCCCACCUAUUCUACUUCAAGUAGAAUUUUUAUUUUCUAUUAAAAUAUUAUCAUUCGAUUACCCUUUAUUCAAAUAGAUCUCUUGUACUGUUUCUUUAUAAUUAGGGACUACGAGCUAAACUAUUCAUACAAUUUUGAGAGUAUUGUUAUUUUGUCAAAAAAUAGUGACAAUUUUUUUAGAAUAAAUUCUAUUUUUUGGGAAAAUCUGAUAGUUUCCAGUUUAUAGAGAGAAUUAACAUUCUCAUUGAAAGUUAAGAAAUGUUUUCAUUCUGUGCAUUUGGUUCUAUUUUGAGAGCUCAUACUCAAAGCAAUUCAGGGUUUGAGGAUAGCGAAGAAGGUCAUUCACUAGAAAGUCAGGAUUGACUUAGACUACCUCGUACAAAACAUAGGUAUAAAUUUGGUUAAAGGUUUAUUGUUAUAAAUAUCACCAGGCUUGAUUUUAAGUAAAAUUUUAAACUUCCGUUUUGCCUAAAAACUUAGUUUUCUAAACCCAUUUUUACAACAAUUGUGUGGUGUAUAGUUGGAAGAAUCGAAACAAUCCGUAAUUGUCAUAUUCAGUGUGUUGAAGAACAAACUAAUGUGACCAAUUGAGUAAAUGAUUGGAUUUGUCAAGGGAAUUAAUGAUAGAUUUUAAACGACUCACACAAUUGAGACCUUUGAUUCAAGUCAAUUCUAUCUUGUUCGCAUGGUUAAUGAGGAACUAAAUAGUGGAAGUUGAUUUUAGGUUAUUCGCUUGGUAAGGGUUACUUGUCAAAUCGUUCUCACAUUUAAUUUACAUACAAAAAGGUAAGUCGCGGUUAGAAGUUGCUCCUCAAUCAUUAUAAUUGACUUAUCGGUUGGAGGAGAAAAUCUAUUGUCGUGCAUCAACUAAAACCAAGGCCAAAACUAUUCUUGAAGUUAGAGCGUUGUUUCAUCAGUUUACUCAAUUUUAAUCCCUCUCUUCUAUUUUUCAUAUAGUUCGACACAUGUCGUGGGCAUGAAAGUUGCCUACCACACGUUCUGGUUAAAAUGAACAUCAAUUUAUUCUGUUAUAUUAGCAUUAUGGAAAUCUCUGGGAUACCUGGUCUAUUCCGCUGUUAUACUCGCUAUUAUAUUCUCCGUUGAAUACAGCAGUCGGAAAGUUAAUUUCUCUCUAUGAAAAAUCGAAAAGCUUUGAGAUUUAUAGAAAAUAGGAUUUAUUCUUGUAAAUAUCUCUUUUUUAAAGAAAAUGAUGACAAAAAGAAUUAAUUUUUUAAUGAUGUUGGUAUGGCAAUCCACACGUAAUUUAUAUUGUCAUGAUAUUUUUUGUUUUAUAUGCCAUGUCAACAAAUAAUUUAAAAAUUAUAAAUUAUAAAAAAAUUAAUACAAAAUAUAUGUGGAUUGCCCUGCGCGCUGUGAUGUUUAAAAAUAGUUAGUAUUUCCAUAAACAAAAAAAAAAAAUUGACUCUUCUUGAAAGGUUUGUGGUCAAAUUUGAUUCCUUUUAAAAGGUUGCGGCUCAAAUUUAGCUCAAAAAUGAAAUAAGAGUUAAAUUGAGUAAAACACGUCAACAUUGAGAACUAAAUUUGACAUUACGCCUUGAUUUAUCAAUCUAUUAAAGGCCUAAGUAUUGUGGAAUAUGAACUUAUCGAAUCAGACAAAUUUGGUAUCAAUAAAAACAAUAAAGCUUUUCUCUCUAACUUUGUUCAAACUUUGGCGGAGACAUUCUCUAGUAAAGAUCUUGCUGAUCUGAAUCAUUUCUUGGAAGUUAAAGUCAUUCCAACAUAUCAAGAUUUAUUCAUCUCAACACAAGUAUAUAGAUGUUAUGAUAUAUUGAGCAAAAUCAACAAAUAAUUGUCAAGUGCCAAGGAAUCAAAUACACCAAUGUCUACUUUAGUUUGUUUAAGUUUUCAUGUUGGUCAAGUUUUGCAUAAAGCAGCCUCUAUCAGAGAUGAAGAUAAAUACUGAAUAGAUAUAUUUAUAUGCCUUUUUGUAGCUAAGAAUUUAAUCUUUAUUUGUAAUAUAACAGUAAAGUACAAUGAUCAAGUAUGAGAAUUUUAAGUUUUAAUCAAAUCAACAUAUAUAUAUAUAUCAUACACUUAUUCUAAUCAAGUGGAGCAUAAUCAUACGACUUUUUCACAUUAAUCCAAGAGAAAUGAGUCUGUAAAUAACACCUUAGUAAUGAAUUACAGUAACGUUAAAUUCAGCAAUUGUAUUGGUGGCAUUUACAAGGAUAGGAUUAAAUUGUGCAACCCCUGUUGCCAUCAUGAAUUGUCCUCUUCCUCCGACCACCGCAAGAUCAGGUUCUCCCCUUGAAAAUACGCUUAGAGAGCUACCGUUAAACUUACCAGUAUUAAAUCCAAAAUCUAGGUAUUCCGUGCUCGAUGCAUUCAUUCCAGCCACUGACGCAAUACCCUGAAUAUUUCCAAUCAACUCUGAGUCAGGCUCAGGACCAGUCCUGAGGGGAUCAUUAAU
rnacentral:lncRNA from 1 species